rnacentral:lncRNA from 1 species
GUUGAUGAGGACUCUUCUCUUCUCCACCAUCUCCUUGGACUGUAAUGACCCUUAUCAUUAAGGACAGGUCUUUGCAUUGCAGGGUGGUGGUGUGGCUUACAAACUUGUUGAUGCUCUUGGCCCUCACUAUAGAAUUCUCCCCGGGACUUCAUAACUUGGGCUUCCAUGUAAUGUUAUGAAUCUACCCCAGACCCAGUUCUUGUGGUAUGGCCAGGCCCAUGAAUAUUUCUAUUUAGUUUUGUUUGGGCCCGAAAAAUGACGGUACUACGAUAUAAAAUGAUAAAACUUGAUAUCAUUAGCAACUGGCCUAUUAGCUCAGCUGGUUAGAGCGUCGUGCUAAUAACGCGAAGGUCGCAGGUUCGAGACCUGCAUGGGCCAUAAUUCUCUUUUGGUUUUUUUUUGUUUCGUCCCGCAUUUUUGUUGUUGUUUCCAGUCCUUUUGAUCAAGUGGAGGGGAGGUGCAUGUUCAUUUGAUGCCUGUGAGUUCGAAAAUUAGAGUUGAUGGUUUUAGUGGGUACGAGGAGAUAGGGAAAAGCAAUUGACUGGUGGUGUCGUAUUGGGGAGAUGGAAAGUUAAGCCAGAGAAAUUGGCGGGACAAGAAAAGACAUUGGUGGAGUGAGUAUUAGUUAGUGAACACUGAACAGUGAAUAGAAAAAGGCUGGAUUUUUCUUGAACACCUUCUCAUUUUGUUGAAUUUGGUAAAAACCCACCUCACCUUUUCAAUUUCCUUCUUUUGUUAUGGUGGAAUACAAAAUACCAAUACAUACACAAUCAUGUUUACUUGGCUUGGAAAUAUUUCUACAUGAUGAUGGAUUAUGACUCAAAAAUCACAAUCUCCUGUGUGUUCUUAUGAAGUUUGUUGUAUUCAAUGCAACAGCAGCUGAGCAUGCAUAAGCUCCAGCUGAGAACACAGCCGCUGACACCAGCAAAAUGGCUUUCCACUGCCUCCCAGCCACUAAAAUAGCCACUGAGAUCAGCCCAAGAGCAAUACCAGAAAGACCAAUUUUCCAGGCUUCAAAACUCUUCACAACAUCUCUGCACCCUUUGCAAUGAAUCACAUGCCUGAAAUACCGGUUGGUCCAAUUCGGAACAUGCAGGCUUCCAAUGCCUCCCUUAGCUGGUUGAGAUGCUGAAACACUAGCAACAAGUCCUGCUGGCGCAUGUUCUACCAUGGCUGGCUCAUUGGGCAAUGAUAUAGUGCUGUGCCCAACAUGAUAAGGCAUGCCAUGCCCUACUCUGUCCACCCAUUUCCUAUACUCAGCUACCCAUACAUCAGAUGAUUUCAAAUUAAGGUACAGAUUUUUUGUGGGAGAUUUUUCUUUCAAAAGUAUCUCAUUUUGAGAUGAGAGAAAUCCCAUAUCUUGCUCAAAAACUGUACAUGAAAUGUGAUGGAAGUACCAAUCUGGGAACAAUUUAGCCAAAGGGGAUUGCUUGGUGGCUCCAAACCUCAUAAUGGCCAUCGAUUUUCCCUGUCCUGUUGGUCUACAGAGGAAGAGACCAACAGAGUAGUGCUUCUCACCAUUCUUGUCUACAAGUUCCCUUGUGUUUUCAAUAACACCAGGUGCUUCAAACCUUAAGAAGUAAGGCAAGGAUUGGUCUUUUGCCUCACCCCAAUAGCCUGCAAAACCUCUAUCAGUCCUCUCAGUCACCUCGAAUCUCAGCGGCUGUGCAUUUUCUCUUUUCGCAGUAAAACCCGUCCUGUCGUGUGAGAUUGGAAUGUGGGCAGGAUCCAUGAGAUUCUCCAGAAGAAUAGAGUGUUCAUAAGGGAGAUCAUGGAUUGUUGAAGAAUAAUCAAAGCCAGGCCUGUCAAAGUUUUCAAACCAAGGUAGCUUGUUGGGUUCGGGUGGUUUUUUGUGAGACAUCCAAACCCAAACAACACCUUGAGAGUCCCUCACCUCAUAUGCUUUAACACAAGCUGCUUUAGGAAUUUUAGCACCAGAUGGGAGCUGUGUAGUGCAUGCAGAGAUCAAUUAAGGUCCCUUGAUUAGUGUGGAAUAUUGUUAAAUCAAUUAAAAUGGGAACUAUAUAUAAUGAAAUGAAACAAAAAGUUUUGAGUUACAAACACUCAUAAGACACAUACAAAUUACCUGUGGAAUCUUUACACAUUUUCCUUGGCCUUGGAAUUGCCAACCAUGAUAUAAACACUCCAGUCUUCCAUCAAUCAACUGGCCUUCUGAUAGUUUUGCAAGCCUUAAAGGAAAGGGAAAAAAAACGCACACACACCAAAGAAUUCACUUUUUGUUAGCCAUGAAGUAGAAACUCUAAAGGAAACAAAACAGAGGAAGCAGAACAAGAUUUUCACUUAAGAUUUUGUGAAUGAAAAGAGGUUAUGAAUCAUGAGAUUACUAAAAGUAUUAAGUUUUUACCUGUGACAGCAACGAUCCUCGUAACAGCGAAGCAGGCCAGAGCCAUCACGAUACAAAACGAGCUGCUUAUCAAACACAGUAAGGCCUAAAGGUGCAUCUUCUGGCAGGUCCUGGGUUAGAUACAGAGGGUACCAUUCUUCUGUCCAAUCAUAUUCAGCCACGACCCUUUCACCUCUGUGCUCUUCUUCACCGGAAGGACUCACUAGAACCCUGUGAUCUUGUUCCUCUUCUUUCAGAUCAUGAUCAAGUGGAGGAGGUGCAGCAGCCUUGUGUUUGAUAUCAUCAGUGACUGCAUUAAAACUAAUUUUGUGGCUCUUUUUAUUUGUGAAUAUUAAUGGAAAUGGUUUGAGAGGUGGGUUUGAUUUGGCUGUUGUUGAUGUUAAUGGUUUUGAAGCAGUGGAAGAAGAGGGAAAGGUGUGUGAGACUAAAGGGUGAACCAGAGCCAUGUUUCUGCUGCUGAUCAAAUUAUUAAUGCACAGUUAUGUUCUGAUCACUUGAGAUUAAAAGAGAGAGAUACUGAUUAGGAGAGAGAGAGAGAGAGAGAGAGAGAGAGGGUGAAGAAGUUGUGUGGUGGUUGGCGUUGCUGGCAAGGCUCUGGGACUGUCGGAAAAGUCUCUGUUUUCUUUUUCUAGGGAAACGUUGCCGUGCUACUUUUGAUUUGUGUGAUGAAAUCUCCACAUGUUGUUGCCUUGAAAGGGAAACAUGUGACCCACUUCUACACCGUUUUGUCGAUGUGAUGUGAAAAACGUUUCAACUUUUAUCAUGAGAAUUUCGUAAUGUUCUCUUAGUAAUUAGAGUUUCUGUUCUGAUUGGUUUGCUUAUUGCAUUUGGAAUUUGAUUUUCAGUUGAUUAUAUGUUUCUUUUUUUCAAUUCAAUAUUUUCAAGAAAUUUGUAGUUUAAGAGUUAAAGAGCAUUGAUUCAUGUAUGUCAGCUAAUUAUUCGGAGAAAUAAUACAAUAAUACAGUACCACCACGUGGCACUGCCAGGUAGUAAUACACACCAAUUGCAUAACGACAUGUGGCAGAGAGAGAAUGUUAACAUCCAGAUUGAAUGGUAACACCGUUAGUAACCAACUCUCUUUUUUAUUUUUUAUUUUUAUUUUAAGAAAUAAAAAAGAAAUCCUAAGAUAUAAUUACUUUUAUCGAAAUCUGCACCACUGUUACUAUUUGUCGAUUACUGUAGUUUUUAUUUGUCGAUUGAUACAGAUUUUUGUUUCUUCAGUCUAUUGCUGCAGGUUUUUUUAUUUUAUUUUAUUUUUAUUUUUAUUGUUGCAGGUUAUACAGGUUGUUUCUUUUUUUAUUUUAUUUUAUAUAUUUGUUAUUAUUUCUAUGUUUGAUAAGAUGAUGUUGUGGCAUGUGCCAGUAUUCAUUGAUGUUGAAAGUGACGAAGAAAAAGUAAGAGAAAAAGAUCCAAUGAUUGUUAACUGUGUAGAAAAUAUUGAUGAUGAUUUGCUUAGAAGGGUUGUGUUGUGUCCACAAAAGAGAAAGUUUAUAAUCUCUACAACAAUUAUGCUACGAGAGUUGGAUUUAGUGUUCGGAGGGGACAAAAGAGAUACAAUACAAAAAAAGUUAUGCGCAAUUUAGUUAUCUUUGUUGAAAAGAAGGUUUUUGACUAGAUACUGACCCUUCGGAAUUGAGCAAGGUUAGCAAAUUAGAGACAAGAAUUGGUUGCGAAGCUAGUAUUCGAUUUGCAUUCCAGGAUGAAGAUGAUACGUGGAAAGUUUCUCAUUUUGUUCCUUAGCAUAACCAUGAACUUGCUAAGCCAGAAGAGAGGCAAUUUUUGAGAUCAAAUAGAAAAUUUUCAGAUUCAAAUUUGAGUGAGAUUAAAAUAAUGGUGGGUGCAGGAAUACGUACCACAAAUACAUAUUCUUAUUUAGCAGAAGACGUUGGCAGGUCUCAAAAUGUUGGUUUUACAAAAAGAGAUUGCUACAAUGUUGUGAACAGGGAGAAAAUGGCCAUGAUUGAAACAGGGGAUGCUCAAAGCUUGAUGAAUCUUUGCAAGCACAAACAAGCUGAAGAUUCUAUGUUCUUUUACACAGUUCAAGUUGAUCAAGAAAAUUGAACGACAAACUUUUUUUUGGAGAGAUGGAAGGUCACGAAUUGACUAUGACUGUUUUGGAGAUGUGGUAGUAUUUGAUACUACUUAUCGAACUAAUAGGUAUAACAUGAUAUGUGCUCCUUUUGUCGGCGACAACCACCAUUGGAAAAACGUACUAUUCGGGUGUGCUUUCUUAUUGGAUGAGAAAACUAAUUCAUUUAUUUGGUUAUUUGAGACAUUUUUAGAAUCAAUGGGAGGUCGAAAACCAAAGACGAUUUUUACUGAUCAAUAUCAGGCAAUGGCAAAUGGCAUUCAAAACGUUUUUCCUAGGGUAUGUCAUCGUUUAUGCUCGUGGCACAUAUCUCAAAAUGCUGCAAAAAAUUUGGGAAGUCAUUAUGGUAAUCAAGAGUUUAACCAUAUGUUCAAUAAGUGUUUUCAAGGAUAUUGUGAGACAGAAUUGGAAUUUCAAUCUAUCUGGGAUGACUUAUUAGCAAAAUUCAACCUUACAGGCAACCCAUGGUUGAUGACACUAUAUAAUCUUCGUGCAAAAUGGUGUCCAGUAUUUAGCAAGCAUAUUUGUACUGCUAGGAUAAAAUAUUCACAAAGAAGUGAGAGCACAAAUAAUGUUUUUCAUCAAAUGUCUACUAAGACAAUGAGUCUUACUCAAUUUGUGCAUCACUAUGAUAAAUAAGCGGAAAAAAUGCGUUCAAGUGAAUUAGAAGAGUCUUUUUGUUGCAAUCAAGGACUCCCUUCUAGAAUUGCCAAAAGCAGUGUAAUUUUGAAUCAUGUUGCUACUGUCCACACAAGGAAAAUAUUUAAAUUAUUUGAAAAGGAGUUUGUAGAUAGUUUGGCAGUGAUGAUGCAUGAGGUUGGAAGUGAUUGCACAAUUCACUCACUUGAACUUAAUGAAGAGGGUCACAACAGAGUUUACCUUGUCCAUUUAAUGAUGUAUUGAGUAAGGCAGCAGACAAUUUAAUGGAGUAACACUUUCUUUUUUCUCUCUCUCUUUUAGGAUUCCAAUUCUACAAGGACAUCAUAUCAACCUAAUUUGUCGUUUACAAGCAUGCUACAAAGUACUAAUUUCAUGGCACAUUUGAAUCAGGAUGGUUUAUCUAUAGCUUAUGCCUAUUUUGAAAUAUUUAACUGACAUGAAGCUAUAUAUAAUGCAGGAUUCACAUUCAAAUGCUUAUGAGCAGCAACAUAAUCCAUACAAGUAAUGUCUCCUUAAGGUGUUGUCUAAGACUAAAAUAAUUACAAUUAUUUUCAGUUACUUUUAACUUAUCUCCCACAACAUUCCUUCUCCUUCCAUGGAAUCCAAACGACACGCUGCAGUUCCAUAAAAGUUUGAAGAGCAUAUCAAAUGAAAGGAAAUAAAGUGAUUACUCAAAAGAAAGGAACUGCAUUUAAUCUAAUGAAAGGAAAUAAAGUGAAAACAAGGAACUGUUCAGGGGAGGACAUAUGCCAAAAAAAUAAAAUCCAAAGUUCGCACCCCCAGCAAUAAUAUACUCAAAUUGUAAGGUAAAACAAAUAGCAAAAAAACAGAGCAAUAAGUAUUAUCCAUUAAUAAUAUACCCUAAUCGAAUGAAUUUCUACACCUCAUAAAUUAAGAAAUAAAAUCAACAUGUAUUAAUUGCAACAAGAAAAUGCAAGAAUGCUACGAAAAACCAAACCGAAAUAAAACCCCUUCCAUCUCACAACUUAAAACACAACCAAAACCCCAAAAUAAAAACAGAUUUCGAUAAUAUGCCUUAGGUUUCUUUUCUAUUUCUUAAAAUAAAAACAAAAAACAAAAAAAGAGUUGGUUACUAAGGGUGUUACCAUUAAAUAUGGAUGUUAAUGCUCUCUCUCUUAAAAGACAGCCACGCCACAUGUUGUUAUGCAAUUGGUGCAUACUACCACCUGGCAAUGCCACGUGGUAGUAUCGUACUAUUGUAUAAUUUCUCAAUUAUUUGAUACCUCUCUUAUUUAAUAUUGCUUGUGAGCUAAGAAGUUAUGAAUACAAUUAUCGUUUAAUCCAAAAAAAAUAUUGCUUGUGUCAAGAAAGAAGAAAACUCAAUAUUCAACAUUUUUUAUUUAGCUUAUAAUGUUUAUGGCACCCUAAAAAUCUGUCUUAGAGAAAAGUAACACAUUAAAAUUUUGUAGUCUAUCACUUUACGAAUUUUUUUUAUUUAAAAUUUUUGAGAAAUUCUGGAAUUGCUUUACGAUAAACUAACAUCCAUUAGUGUUUUUUUUUGGUAAUUAAAAUUUCGGUUCAAUACAUCUUUUUUUCCUUUUUUUCUUUUAUCAAAAGAGGUUCAAUAAUAAUAAUAAUAAUAAGCUUUAUUUAUUAUAAAUAUAUUAAUUAGUUCAAAAUUCAAUCCACCUCAGUAUUGGGCAAAAAUCCGUCUUAAAAAAAGCGGUGAACAAAACCCAAAGGGAAGCUUUGCUUAAACCCCAGUAUUGGGUUGGGUUCCCUGCACUCCAGCUUGUGGCUCGGAUUUGGGAAUCAGAAUGAAAAUCGCAGUAGAAGGUUGUAUGCAUGGCGACCUCGACAAUGUCUACAGAACCCUCCAACACUACGAAAAACUUCACAGCACCAAAAUCGACCUUCUCCUCUGCUGCGGCGACUUUCAGGUACGUUACUCGCUUGCCCAAAUUUCGAGCUUUUUUCUUCAUUGAAUUGUUUCUGAAAUUUAACGAUGUUUAGUUGAAUACAAUUGUUUUCGGGAGGACUAGGCUGUGAGGAAUGAGAAGGAUUUGGAGAGCUUAAGUGGGCCUGAAAAUUUUCAAAUUGCCCCUAAACUUACAACUUUCAGUUUCGUUCUUUGCUUAUUUGCCCUAAAGUUUCAAGCUUUUUUAUUUGUUUGAUUGUUUCUGAAAUUGGACAAUAUUGGUCUAUAAGUAUUUUCGUGAAAUUAGGCUGUGAGGAAUGAGAAGGAUUUAGAGAGUUUAAAUGUGCCUCGAAAAUAUCGGGACAUGAAGACCUUCUGGAAAUACUAUUCCGGCGAGGAAGUUGCUCCGUUCCCCACAAUAUUCAUCGGUGGAAAUCACGAAGCUUCUAAUUAUUUGUGGGAACUGUGAGUCCCUUCUUCAGCUAUAAGCUAUAGCAUUCCCUUCCAAUUUUUCUGUUUGUCGUUUUUUAUUUUUAUUUUUUAAUGAAUAAUGUCUUGCCAUUUUCCCUGUGAUUUUUACUCUUUUUUUUGUUUUUUUUUUGUUUUUUUGUUUUCUGUUUUUCAGGUAUUAUGGAGGGUGGGCAGCACCUAAUAUAUACUUCUUGGGGUUUGCUGGGGUAGUCAAGUUUGGAAACAUUCGAAUUGGUGGGCUGUCUGGAAUUUACAACCGGCACAAUUAUUGCAGAGGUUAGUUUGCUUUAAAUUUGUGUCAUUCCAGAUGUUUAUUACUUUGCUUAUCGUUUGUUGAUGAAACAUAGUUAUUUAUGUUGGGAUAUUGUUCUUAUUCUUAAGUAUAGCUAUGGUAUGGGCAAUUUUUUGCUAUAUGGGGUGUUAUAACAAGGGUAACUUGUUCCUCCUCCUGAGCAGGGCACUAUGAGAGGCCUCCUUAUAAUGAGAGUACUAUCAGGUCCAUAUAUCAUGUUCGUGAGUAUGAUGUCCACAAACUCAUGCAAGUUGAGGAACCAAUUGAUAUUUUUCUUUCACAUGAUUGGCCUGUUGGCAUCACUGAUUGUGGGGACUGGAAGAAACUUGUUCGGGACAAACCUUUUUUUGAGAAGGAGGUAAUUGCAAGAAUGGAAAAAUGAGUUGGUAAGCUUUGAUAGGUAUGAUUUUAAAUAUCUUGUGUCGUUUAAAAUGUUGUUAGGUUCAGGAAAGAAAUCUUGGGAGUAAACCAGCUGCUCAAUUGCUAGAAAAACUGAAACCACCUUAUUGGUUUUCAGCUCAUCUACACUGCAAAUUUGCUGCUCUUGUUCAGCACGAGGAAGAUGGUUCAGUGACAAACUUUCUUGCCCUUGACAAGUGCCAACCAGGACGCAAAUUUCUGCAGGUAUUUGAUGUGAUUUUGAAUGUAGUAUAUAGGGUGUUCCCCUGGAGUCAUUGCUGGUAGCUAAUGGUUCUAUGUGUGACAUUUUCUGGUUUUUUAGGUUAUUGAAAUUGAAUCUGAGCCAGGCCCUUAUGAAAUCCAGUAUGAUGAAGAAUGGCUAGAAAUAACUCGGCGAUUUAACUCUAAUUUCCCUCUCACAAAUAGAAGUGCAAAUUUUUGGUGUGUACUUGAUCCGACUGUUAAACCUUUUCUUCCUCUUUACCCUUUUAACUUUCUUUUUCUAUUGUAAAGUAGCUACUAAGUGCGUAUGUUAUACUGUAGGAAUGUACAUCUUGACAAGCAAGAUUGUCGUCAAUGGGUCAGGAGAAAUUUACAAGCAAGAGGGGCUAGACCUUUUGAAUUCACCCAGACAGCUCCACCUUACAAUCCCUCUAACUCUGUCCUGAGCGGUACCUUUCCCGGUAAGGAUAAUUAUGCCAUCCUUUGUGUAAUAUCAUUUGAUAUGUUGAUAAACAAGAACAUCUUAUGUUAAUACUACAAUUUUUCUUUUGGCAGAAUACACUCGGAAUCCUCAGACAGAAUCUCUUUUGCAGUUUCUGGAACUUCCUUACCUUCUUGAUAACACAUCAGAAUCAUCACAAGUACCCAGGAGUCCUCUUCCAUUGAUCCGUACAGGUAACAAUUUUUUCUUCUCUGUCCUUGUUAAGAAUUUUCUCUUUUAAGCUUUCCUAAAACUAAUUUCAAAGCUUUCUGUAGGUUCUCUUGAAGAUAACAGUGAAGACAUUCCCAUUGAUGAUGUAGAUGAUGUGGAUGAGUUGGAAGAACUAGCUGAAGAUGCGGUGGAUACUAAAACUGAAAAUAUUUGAAGCUCCUGUUGUGUAGUUGUGUUGCUUUCUGUCAGUUUCAAAAUAUUUUUGCUGAUCAAUGACAUUAGGUUCUCUCAGUUGAAGUUUAUGUAAUCGAAUUUCAUGUAUGGUCAAUCAGGUUGGUCUGGGGUCUGGCCUCGUCUUCCAGCCCCUCUGACCUCUUUUUUUCAAAAUUUUCAUUGUUUUAGGCCAGUUAGUUUUAGACUAUCUUUUAUUCAUUGUCUAAUUUCUGUAAGGGUGAGCAAAUCACAUACUGGCCCAAUAAGAACAAGAGAUAUACUGACUUGUGUAAAAAUCAUUCAUCUGUCUAACAGAUGAAAUUUUAUAGGUUUAUUUAUUUAUUUUUAUCAUGACUAGUUCUUGUACGAUUUCAAAUACACGGUCUUCGUCUCCAUUUUUUCAAUUCGAUCAAUGCAUUCCUCAUCUUCUUAUGUAUCACGUGAAUCUUAUCCUAGACAUCAGUUCUAUCCGAUUUUCAAAAUUUCCCGAGAGUUAAUAAAUGGGGUCUGAAUCUGAUAAUAAAAAAUGUUUGCUUUCAUAGAGCCACACAAAAUCCUAUUUUUGCUUCUUUCUUUUCUUGGUGCGAUGAGUAAUUUUCUCAACCAAAGUGAAGCCAUCUACCUUCUGACAUUACCAAAACCACAUUAAUGCAGCCUUAAAUAAAACUUACAACAUAUUAUUCCACAUGGCCAACUAUCUCUUGCUCUCUCCAUAUCCCUCUCUCUCUCUCUGAUAUUUUCUGACUUUGAAUGCUCUAUAAUAAUACAAGAGCCAAGAAGUCAAUGUCUUAAGCGUUCCUCUGUAUGGUUUAGGCUCCAUGAAAAUAAAGCAAUAUGGAGAAAAGACCAACAGCCUUCUUUUACACACAUGGUGUCUUCUUUGUGUGGUUAUGUUUAGCUGCUUCUGCUUCUUGUGAUGAGCUCACAUUGAGUUUCUACUCAGCUUCAUGCCCUUCUGCUGAGCUCAUGGUCAGAAACACAGUCAGAUCAGCUUCUGACAUAGACCCUACCAUCCCUGGGAAGCUUCUUCGCUUGCUCUUCCAUGAUUGCUUUGUGGAGGUAAACAACUCUAGCUUGCUCUCUUAGAUGCCUUAUGCCUCAUUGAUUUUCGGCAUUGAUUUGAAUUGACACUAAGCUCCCUCCCCCAAGGAAAAAAAAAAUCUUAAACCAUGAAAAUGGGUGGCUUCUUUCAUGCAUGUUUGUUUGUGUAAUGUUUUUCAUGAUUUCAGGGUUGUGAUGCAUCUGUGCUUCUACAAGGAACUGGGACUGAGAGAAGUGAUCCAGCAAACACAUCUCUGGGAGGCUUUUCAGUGAUUGAUUCAGCAAAAAGACUGCUUGAAAUUUUCUGUCCAGGAACUGUUUCUUGUGCUGACAUUGUUGCUUUGGCUGCUAGAGAUGCUGUUGAAAUUGUUAAGAUCCAUCUCCCUCAUUAACUGUUAUGUUUAAUUCUUCAUUAAUUCUUUUUUAAUUUUCUGCAUCUUCUAGUUGGGUAUUUAUUAUAUUUAUGGUAUGACUGGAAAACAGUCUGGGGGACCUGUAGUUCAGAUUCCAACUGGUAGGAGAGAUGGAAAGGUUUCUGCAGCUUCAAAUGUCAGGCCUAAUAUUGUAGACACAAGUUUUACAAUGGAUGAGAUGAUUAAGCUCUUCUCAUCUAAAGGGUUGUCUUUGGAUGACCUUGUCACCCUAUCAGGUACAAUUUUAUUUAUCUAGACACGUGUUUUUGCUUGCCAAAAGUUUGAUUGAACCACUUUUUUGUUAGUUUAAAAAUUUAAUGAGAGGUUGAAGUCUUUUAGGUACACCAUUAACUGCUUUCUUUGAUGAUAUUAUUCCAGGAGCUCACACUAUUGGAUCAGCUCAUUGUGGCGCAUUCAGUGACAGGUUCCAACAAGACUCCAAGGGGAAACUCAAACUCAUUGACACAUCCUUAGACAACGCUUAUGCAGAGGAGCUCAUGAGACAGUGCCCUGCGGGCGCAAAUCCAUCUACAACAGUCAAAAUUGAUCCUAACACUUCGUUUGCGUUCGAUAAUCAUUACUACCAAAAUCUCUUAGCCCACAGAGGGCUAUUUCAAUCGGAUUCCGUCCUGUUAAGUGAUGACAGAACAAGGAAGCUAGUGGAGAGUUUUGCACAGGACCAAGUUAUUUUCUUGGAGAGUUGGGCUCAGUCAUUCUUGAAGCUUGCUAGCAUUGGCGUCAAGACUGGUGAAGAAGGCGAAAUUCGAGCCUCUUGUCCAACAACUAAUGCAUGAGAGAAUGAAAAAUAGUUGCAAAUUUGCAAGUUCUUACUUUGAAAGUGUUACGUCCUCAAUGCCACAAGUUGCUUAAAAUUAAAACAACUUUAAGAUGCAUUUGUAAAAAUUUUAUAUUGUUUAUGUUACAUUAAAAUUUACAAGAGUUCUUUAUUCGUUUGUUUGCUGUGUUGGCCUCUCUGUAAAAUGAAGAGAAAAACCAAAAUGAAUGUUAUCUUUAUGUUAUCAUAUUCAUGACAAAUAUAAACCUUUUUUUUCUCAUUUUAAAUUUAAAACACAUCCAUUUGCAGGGAAUUAAACGUAGAAACAUAAAGUGACCGUUUCCCAUUUAAAACCGAUAUUUCAAACAAACUAAACUCAACGCGCCAUUGUUGCUGCCACCACUUAGCUCUGUAGCUCUGAACUAGCGCGUACUUGGACCCAGAGCUACCUCUGUUUGUUAGUCUUACAUUGCUCUUCCUUCACCAUAACUCAUAACACCAUACUAGUUACUAGCAGAGCCUACUUCCCUCGUUUUCUUUGAAUUUCCAACAAAAUUAGAUCUUUUUUAUUUUGUUUUUUGGCUCGACCAAAUUGGCAUGACCAAGUUGGUGAAUUCAAUUUCUUUUUAGCGUUGGGUGUUCGAAAAAGGGAAAGGCUUUAUCUUUGUUUAUGUAGCGAAAACGGCAUUGGUGGCUUCUUAUGAAUGAGGGCACUGCACUCGCUCCUUGGCAGCACAGUGAAUGCUUUGUGCAAGGUUUCGAUAACCCAUUGUAGAGAAAUCAAAUUAGGGGUCCUCGCAGACGUUUACUACGGCAACAAUAUCCUAAAUGGAUAUGCAAGAUGUCAUGAUUUUUUUCUUGCUCACAAAAUGUUCGACGACAUGCCCCAAAGAGACACUGUGUCUUGGAAUACGAUGAUUGCUGGGCAUGUGAACUAUGGGAACUUUGAGACUGCGUGGGAGAUACUAAGAGAGAUGAAAGGAUGCGGAUUCGAUUUUGAUGGGUAUACAUUUGGAAGCAUACUUAAGGGGGUCGCUUGUGCUUAUCGAUGUGAUCUUGGGGAACAAGUGCAUUCCAUGGUUGUUAAGACUGGUUACGUGGGUAAUGUUUAUUCGGGAAGUGCUCUUUUGGACAUGUAUGCAAAGUGUGGGAGAGUUGAGGAAGCGUAUGUGGUCUUCGAUUCCUUGCCAGAACGUAAUUCUGUGUCAUGGAAUGCAUUAAUUGCUGGUUUUGUGCAAGUAGGUGAUCGUAAAACUGCAUUUUGGUUGAUGAAUUGUAUGGAGCAGGAGGGGGUGAAGCUUGAUGAUGGCGCAAUUGCUCCAAUAUUGACAUUACUUGAUGAUGCUGAGUUUUACAAGUCCACAAUGCAAAUCCAUUGUAAAAUUCUGAAACAUGGGCUGGAUUGUAAAAGUACUGUGUGCAAUGCCACAAUCACUUCAUACUCAGAGUGUGGGUCGAUAGAAGAUGCCGAAACAGUGUUUGAUGGUGCUUUUGGUAGCAGAGAUUUGGUAACAUGGAAUUCCAUGCUAGCAGCAUACUUGAUUCAUAAGAAAGAACUACUCGCUUGCAAACUCUUCAUAGACAUGCAAAUGCUUGGGUUUGAACCAGAUAUCUACAGUUAUACGAGCAUCAUCAGUGCCUAUUCUGAAGAUGUACAUAAAAACCAUGGAAAAUCCUAUCAUGGAUUGGUAAUAAAAAGGGGACUAGAAAAGUCAGAGCCAAUCUCUAAUGCUUUGAUAGCCAGGUAUCUCAAGUCAAAUAGCAAUUCCAUGGAAGAAGCAUUACAGAUAUUUAAAUCUAUGGAGUCUAAGGAUCGUGUUUCUUGGAACUCCAUUUUGACUGGAUUAUCACAAAUGGGGUUGAAUGAAUAUGCCUUGAAAUUCUUUGGACAUAUGAGAUACGCGGAGGUAGAUAUUGAUCAUUAUGCCUUCUCAGCUGUCCUCAGGUCUUGUUCAGAUUUAGCAACCCUCCAACUGGGUCAAGAGAUACAUGCCUUGGCACAUAAGUCAGGGCUUGAGUCCAAUGAAUUUGUUGCUAGUUCUUUGAUCUUUAUGUAUACUAAGUGUGGGAUCAUUGAGGAUGCUAGAAAAUCCUUUGAACAGACCCCCAAAGACAGCUCAAUCACUUGGAAUUCGAUUAUUUUUGGAUAUGCACAGCAUGGACAGGGAUAUGUUGCACUUGACCUCUUCUUCCAAAUGAAGAAGGAAAAAGUGAAACUUGAUCAUAUAACCUUUGUUGCAGUUCUAACAGCUUGUAGCCACAUGGGUUUGGUUGAACAAGGCUGCAAGUUUCUAAUGUCCAUGGAAUCGGAUUAUGGAAUAACCCCACGAAUGGAGCAUUAUGCUUGUGCAGUGGAUCUAUAUGGGCGCGCUGGGCGUCUAGAUGAGGCGAAAGCUUUGAUUGAAGCAAUGCCUUUUAAACCCGAUGCAAUGGUUUUGAGGACUUUAUUGGGUGCCUGUAGGGCUUGUGGGAAUAUUGAAUUAGCUAGUCAAAUAGCAGGCUAUCUGCUAGAGCUAGAGCCUGAAGAGCACUGCACUUAUGUUCUUCUUUCCGACAUGUAUGGACAUCUCAAAAGGUGGGAUGAAAAAGCUAGUGUAAAGAGGCUUAUGAGGGAAAGGGGUGUGAGAAAAGUCCCCGGUUGGAGUUGGAUAGAAAUUAAGAAUGAGGUUUUUUCUUUCAAAGCUGAAGAUCGUUCCCACUCCCAUUGUGAAGAGAUAUAUUGUGUAUUGGGAGUUUUAAUGGAGGAAAUCAAGAGGAUGGAUUUUGAUGCUAAUGUAAAGGCUUUGUUGCAUGAUUUGGAUCCUAUGGACUGGUACUGUGAUAAUGCUCUUCUCCAAAACUGUGAUUCAGUGUUGUCGGCUGCAUAAGGCAAGCUCACCAACUUUUUUCAAGAUACCAAAUUUUGUUUCACAUCCGUAUACGCUGUUGGAUCGUUAUUUCUUCUAAUGAUGCAUAUUACUUUUUUUUUCCCCUGAAAAAAGGGACUUGAGACUUUGGAAAUGGUUCAAGUUAAUCAAAUUUCUCAUUCAAUAUGAACAUAGGCUGGUUACCAAGGAAUGAAGCAAUCGUUGAAAUGCAAAUGUGAUUUCUUUCUACUUUACUUCAUUGUGAAGCAUUUUUACUUGCCUUGUUGCUAAUGUGAACUUAUUGCAAAAACCCUUUUGCUUAUAGACAAGAACAUUUUCUGAUGUGAGAACCAGAAAAAGGUGAUGGGAGGUUUUAAGGGAACUCCUGCCCUCGGAGACAGAAACCCUUUCACUUAUAGACAAGAACUCUAGUUGCUCAAGGGUUGAUAUUGUUAUGGACUUUUAUUAAAAUCAUUAAUUUCUGUUUUUUCUGUUGCAUUGAACAUAUUUUAAUAAACAAUUUCAAUUAUUACAUCAUAAGGGGUGAUGACUUUUCGAAGGGAACAUCCCAAGAGUGUGAAUACAAAUAAAACUUCAUCUUUAUGUAGUUUGGAUCAUUGCUUGAUGAAUAUUUAACAAAACACUAGAAUGCCAAAAGCAAUGAGCUGCCAUGACAGGAAUUUCCUUUGUCUUAUGUAUCCUCAUCUUUCCCAAUGCAAAUGUACCUUCAGAUUCAGAAGCUUGCUAGCACCAAACAUUGACUCAGUCUCUCUCAACUACAUUACAUUUAUAUUGUAGAAAGAAAGCCUUCUGGGUUUCAUUUGUUUCUUUGGGUUGGUUUUCUUUUGGCAUUUUGCAACACCAAAUUGGCAGCCGGUGACAGAUGAUUAAUUACUAGUUUGAAGAUUUGAUAUAAUCUUAGGCACUAUAAAAGUAGCCUUGUUAAUUAGUUUGAUUAAUGUAUAAUAUUUGAUGUAAUGGGUUGUCAAGAUUUUAUCCAGAGAUUCAGAGAAAUCUUUUUUUUUUCAAUUUUUAUUAAACCCUUUUCAUCUUUUUCAAUGGUGCACAGUGCACUAUCUGAGUGGGGGAAUUGGGAAACUAAUGGAUGAAAAAUAAUAAUUGGGGCAUGCCAAAUUGACAAAUGCGUAAAGAAGAUGAAGCCUAUCAAAAACAUUACUUGUUGGCAAUUGGAAACUGCAGGAUGAUUGGAAGUUAAGCCAUCAAAAUCUCUAUAAGCAUCUCUCUCUCACUCAUCUUUUGGGACAGAUUCCAGCUUUCUUCCACCACCCACUACAACCUCUCUGUCUACCCCACACCCAAGCAAGAUUCCAACUGAUCAUCUUCGCUCUCUGAUAACAGUUUCCAGCUAUUAAUUUAUUCCCACCAGAAAUUAGGGAUGUCCCAUUCACAAUCAAACAAACACAAGAUAACUUUGCUGGACCAACCUUGCUGCUGGCCGCCCAUUUUCUUUAAUUCUACUAAGGCAAUUACAUUAUUUGUCUUAAUCUCAAAUAUCAUGAAGUACAGAAAUGAUAAGUUUAGUUUGGAUCGUAAGAAUAUAGUGGCGGAUUCAGAUAUUUUUCUUCACGCUACAAUGGUAAAUACAAUUAGUUUCUACCUCAACCUUUUUGAGGCAUUUCGACAAACUGUUUAAGGAAAAUAUCAAUAGCUAACUGAAUUGAUGAGCCAGAUUAAGAACAUAGAUGUCCGAGUGGAGAAUAUAGUAAUUUAUAAACAAAUGAAUCGUUCCAAUAAUAAUUUUUUAAAAGAACUAAUGAUAGAGACCAAUUGUUUAAAUUAAACAACACUUGGUUUUCUUGUAAUAAUUUCAACUAGUUGGAUUGGAUGAUUGGUGUGCUCAUCGUGGACUCAAUUAUUUCUUCGGCAAGUGUACAAUUAUGUUGAUCAGGUCAACAUGGCUCCUAUACACGAUAUGUAUGAAUACUAAUAUUGUAUGAUGUUGUCAAAUUAUCAAUCCGAAGAAUUCAUGUUAUACAAUUUGGAUGAUAAAAUAUUAAUCAGCAUGCCAGAGACUUACAUAAUAGAACGAAUAAUUGUUAGUUAUAGUGGAGUUUUAACUUGUGGAGUACGUUAGAAGUGGGGUGGGGGGAUUUUGGGUGGGUGGGAAACCACUUGAAAUCCAAUAUUUUUACUUUUUGAGCAAAUAAAAGCAUGAAAAAUAAUUUCAUGAUUCCAUCGACCUCCCACCCCAUCCCAUCCCAGCAGCCUCUCUCCACCGAAAAAUCAAGUGCCGCAGAUUACAGGAUGAUUGAUUGCUUCCUAUCUCUUUUUCUGUGUGAAAGUGAAAAAACCAAUCAAUAAAAGAGAACAAAAAGACCCAACAUUGUUGACAAUUGAGAACGUUGUCUUUAUAGACCAUUUUGGUUGGACCCAAGUCAUUCAAGUGUGAAACUACCAACUAUGAAGUAGUGCCAUUCGUAUGGUAAAACAACAAGAGAACAAAACAAAUAAUGGAUGCUGAAAAAUACUGAUUGUUAAUAUUUUAUGUUUCUUCUGGAAGGAUGAGAUGAAUGCAAGAAUUUAAUUAAGGUUCCUAAUCUCAGAAUUUGCCUAAUUAACAAGAAAAUCAUGUCCUCCGGAAAAAAAAAAAAAAAUUAAUAAUGAUAACAAGAAAAUCAUGUCCGUACAGUAAUGCUAAUCAGGGUAGUACACAGGUUCACUAAGCAAUCAGGUGUGGGAUCCCUUUAGCUAUCAGUAGGACAGAUAAAUGGCCGUGCUUUUAAUACAAGAAAGUCUUCAUUCUACAUUCUCAUUCGGUCUCAUACUACAAUGUAGUUUAAUAAUUAGAAACGUCUCUUUUAGGGCACUCUUUAAAUCAUAUGUAAAAAAAAAAACAACUAAAUUGGAAAUCGUUUAGUCAUUUAAUUGUUAUUGGACGAACACAGAACUAUCCCAAUGUUACUCAAUCAGGUUAAACGAACUCCAAUUUUGUUUUUGUUUUUUGUUUUUUUUUGGGUAUAAAUGAUCUUUAAAGUGCUAUACCUCGAAAGUAAACGGUUUUCAUCCUCAUACGACAACAGAAAGAAGAAGUACAAAUGCAAAUGGAAUGUAGCAAACUUUCCCCUAUUAAUCUACCAGAAUUAAUUAUCAAACGUUUAGUGCUAAUGACGAAGAGUGAGGUCAAUGUAAGGCGGUUGCCUAAGGUCACACUCAUAGGCAUAGCCAAGGCCCAUGCUGUGCUUUAUCCCAAACAAAAUGGUGAGCUAAGGCUGCCUCCUCACCUAUAGCCUAUAGGCACUUUUAAGCGCUAUGUAUUUGUCAAUAUCUGUACACGAUGGUUGGACUCAAUUUAUCUUUAUAAAAAAAAUAAUAGUUUCACGAGAAAUUAUUAUAUGAUAUCGGAAAAUGCAUAUAAAUAUAUUGCAUAUGUAUUUAUGUUAAUUAAUGUAACACCCUAUAUACUCUCAUAUCUACUUAUAUUUUCGAAACAAAUCCAUGGAUGAUGUCGUUUUGUGUAUUUGACAUUGAUGUGGAAGCUGCAUAAUAAUUUUUUACUGUUAUAAUGGGUGACGUGUGAGAAUUGGAAACCCAUUGUCUCUCCAUUCAGCUUAUAAGGCUAAAGGGAUGUAUGCUUUGAGGAGCAAACAUCAUUUUACAUCUGUGGGUGGGAGUUUAGGUUAGCUAGCUUGUGAAAUAAUCAUGGCAGCUCCCAUUUCUAGCUCCUCCUUCCUCAUGAGGUAUAUCAUUUGUUGCUCUGGUUUUCUAUGCCUAAUUCUGUGCUCUUUGGAGAAGGGCUUUGCCUUGGAAGAAAGAGAACAUGCUCACACAGUUGAAGUCAAUUCUCUGCUGCCUGCAACCACCUGCAGCUCCUCCUCCUCCACCAAAGGUCAAUAUCUCUGAAACCCUUUUUGUUUAUCUCUCUCCCUCUUUCUAUCCUCUGUGUGCAUGUUUUCUUGUCAUAUUUGCUUUAAUUUGAUUGCAAUGGUGGAAGUAGAUAUACAUAUAUUUAUAUAUACAGUACUGCUGCUGCUGGUAAUCGGAGAAUCCAAUUCUUUAACCCAUGAGCAACAAGCCAUAAGAACAUUUCUUUCUAUAAAAUAUAUAUAUAUAUAUAUUUAAGGGGAUACUUUGAUAAAGAUGGCAUAGAUUAGAUUCUGCAAAAUCUUAAAAUGGUUUAUUAUUUUUGAAAUAAUAAUAAUAAAGUUUUGGUAGGAGAUGUAACUUUCAGCAGCAUGCAUAUAUAAUAAUAUUAUAUUGUCAAUAAACUUAUAAUUUAGUGUUACAUAAAUAAUUAAAGAGUUUUUCCUUCCAGGGUUUUGUUAAUUGAGAUCAUCAUUUUUGUUUAUGGAUCAUUUAAUUUACGGAUUAAAAGAUUUGAUGGUAUUAAUUAAGUUUUUGUUUAAAGAUUACGCAUGCAAUCAGUAAACAUGACUCUUUAUUUAAUUAAUUAAAGGAAUUUCGACUAUGAUUGCUCAUUACAAACACAAACACACAAAGACAUAUGUGAGUUUUGAGUUUCUUCCCACUUGGAAGUCCUUUUUUGCAAGCUACGUAAUCAUCAAGCAUGUUCCUUCCUGCGCCAAUCAUGGCCACAUAAGCAGGUACGAUAGGCACUGCCAGCCAGCAGGCCAUGACACCCUUCCAUAUUGAUGCCUAGUGCCGACAUAUACCAAAAUAAUUUGUGCAUAAGUUGGUCUUUACAUUAAAACAGAAUCAUGGAACUAAUUUUGUCCCAAUAUAGAAGUUCCGAUAUAUUGAAUUGUUGUGCAAUUUAAUUAGUUCCUAUCUUAUUAUUUUUUAAAUUUAUUAAACAACGAUAAAGACAUUAAGUCUAAUUUAAUAAAAAUAAUUCAAUUCAAACCGAGUCACUAAUCAUAGUUGUAAAUUAUUUGAAAUUCAGGUCAUAUGAGCAAGCAUGCAUCAUCAUCAGUGCUGAAAGUGGUACACAAGCAUGGCCCAUGUUCCCGACUCAAGAAGCACAAAUCCAAAACUCCAACUCAUGCUCAAAUCCUCCAGCAAGACCAAGCCCGAGUCAACUCAAUCCACUCCCGAGUCAACUCCAAGAAGCAAUUGAAAAGCGUCGACGAUCUACGCGAAUCGGCGGCCACCACCAUUCCGGCCCAGUCCGGAAGCGUCGUCGGAGCGGGAAACUACAUAGUCAACGUGGGCCUGGGCUCUCCCAAGAAGCAGCUAUCGCUCAUUUUCGACACGGGCAGCGACCUCACUUGGACCCAAUGUAGACCAUGUGUAAAAUCUUGUUACAAACAGAAAGAGCCCAUCUUCGACCCUUCUCUCUCCGCCUCCUACGCCAACGUCUCCUGCACCUCCGCCACGUGCACUCAGCUGGGUUCGGCCACUGGAAACACCCCCGGCUGCACCGCCUCCACGUCCACCUGCAUCUACGGCAUCCAGUACGGCGAUCAGUCGUUCUCCGUCGGCUACUUCGGCAAGGAGAAGCUGAGCUUGACGAACACAGACGUGUUUGAUGGGUUUCUGUUCGGGUGUGGCCAGAACAACCAAGGCCUUUUCGGCGGCGCUGCCGGUUUGCUCGGUCUCGGCCGAAACCAAAUCUCCCUUGUGGAACAAUCGGCUAAAAAAUACAACCGGUUCUUCUCCUACUGCCUCCCUUCCACCUCGAGCUCCACCGGCUACCUCAGCUUCGGCAAAGGCGGCGGAUCUUCCAACGCCGUCAAGUUCACGGCCCUCUCCACCGUCUCCCAAGGCGACUCGUUUUACGGCCUCAACGUCGUCGGGAUCAACGUCGGCGGGACUAAAUUGCCGAUUUCGGCUUCGGUCUUUUCGUCUUCGGGAACGAUCAUAGAUUCCGGAACGGUGAUCACGCGGCUGCCGCCGACGGCGUACAGCUCGUUGAAGGCGGCGUUUCGUCAGAGGAUGAAGAGCUAUCCGCUGACUCAGGAGCUCUCGAUACUCGACACUUGCUACGACUUCAGCAGCUUCAAAACGGUGUCGUAUCCGAAGAUUUCGUUCGUGUUUGACGGCGGGCUUACGCAGGACUUGGACGCGACGGGGAUACUGUACGUGGCGAGCGCGGAUCAGGUUUGCCUGGCGUUUGCAGGGAAUGGGGACGAUAGCGACAUUGGGAUUUUUGGGAACGUUCAGCAGAAGAGGCUGCAGGUGGUGUAUGAUAUUGCUGGUGGAAAGGUCGGAUUUGCCCCUGCAGCAUGCCCCUGAGCUAUGGCUAUAUUAUUAUGCAAUGCAUGCAGCUACCCAGCUUUGCUAAUGAAGAAGACAAUCUUGGAGUUAGCACAAAUGGGGCUGUUAUAUUAAUAUAAAGACUACUUAAUUAAGGCUAGUUUUAAAUUAGCUUAAUUAAGCUAGCUAAUUAACCCAUUGUUGAUUGAAGAAGAUGAUCAUCAAUUGGUAUAAAAGUAUAGUUGUGAUACAUAUAGACUAAUUGGAACAAGCUAUAGUGACAAUUGGUUUGUGUGUUGGUGUAAUAGCUAGCUAAAGAAUGGAAAGUAUGCAAUGCAAGUUGUACAUAAAUAAAACAAUGUUGGAUUAUUUAGCUAAUUUCGGGCAUGCAAAAUAGGAUGAAUCUCUCUUAAUUUGGUCUUGCCUCAAACGAAAUGCCCAAUUAAGAAUCAAGGAUUGAUUGGUGUUAAUGGGGUCUAGUUCAGUGAAAAAUGGUAUUGAUUUGAAUACUAGAGGUCUCAGCUUUCGAAUUCCCAUAACAUCAUUUGUGUGUAUGUAUAUGAGUAUUUUUGAACUACUCCAAAAAGAAUGAUGGUUAUUGGAUCAUUUACCAAUCUGAGUCUGAUAGACUCUAUAUUUAUUUUAUAUUUUCCAUAUAAGUAAGAUUAUAAAAAAGUGAAUUCCAUUAUAGAGCCGUGUGCAAAAGAAAAUGCAUGUACGGUUGUAGACUAUCGCUUAUACUAAAAAAAUCAAUUGGUAAAAAAAAUCUUGAGGUUCUUGGUCUGUAAACCGACUUGGUGAGUGAGUGGACAAUCAAAGCCCAGACUUGUCGUUACUUUGAGUUUGUUUGACCGGUAUUGGUAGGCCAAUAAGCCCAAUAUACAAAAAUAUAAAAAUGAAAAACUCUUGAUUAAUUUAAUAAUGUUACCUUAAAGUCUGUUGACUUAUUGACUUUGAAAAUGGCAUAUGAUGAUAAUAUGCGCAACAGGCGCAUGGAUAGUUCCAAAUUUAUGUUUGGUGUAGUUUGAAAAAUGCCACCGUGGAUACAAAUUACAAUGACAAGACGCUGAAAUGGCGCCAUGACAUUGAUCACCAACAGGAACGUCUUCUAUACUUUCCAGACACCAAGUCCUCUGCGCUUUAAUCACAAUAUUGACAGGUGAUGGAUAAUUAAUUAAACGACUAUAAUGUUAAAAAAAAAAAUAUUGCAUUUGUUUAUUUUGUAGGUCAUAAUUAUAUGUUUUAAUAAUUUUUAAAUUGUCUAAUAUUUUGUAAAUAUUAUCUAUAAAUUACGACUCACUCGGUUGAAAUAUAAUUUAUCAAUUAGUUGGAGUCUACAGAGACUUGACCAAUUAGUUGUCAAUUAUGAAUUGAAAACUAUACGUCUCAUCACUAAAUGCUUGGAAAUUAAGGCCAAUAAACCCGGUGGACAUCCAUGUCUCCAAUUAGCCUAUAUAAGGCCAAGAGUAUGCUUACAUUACAGCAGCAACUCAAUAAUCUAGAGGCAAUCUUGUUAAUUAUUCAUGGCAACUCCCAUGAUUUCUAGCUCCUCCUUCCUUAGGUUUUUCAUGGCUUUCUUCUCUGUAUUUCUAUGCCUAAUUCUCUGCUCUUUCGAGAACGGAUUUGCUUUGGCAGCAAGAGAUACAAAACCCCACCUUAUGCCACAUACCACUCACACAGUUGAAGUAAACUCUCUUCUACCAGCAACCACCUGCAGCCCCUCCACCAAAGGUUAAUUCAUCCCAUAUUAUAUAUAUAAUUUAAUUUCAAUGCAUUUAUGUAUCUCUAACACACACACACACUCUCUCUCUCUCUCUCUAUGCAUACAUGUUUCGAUGAUCUCAGGUCAUAACAAUAACAAGGCAUCAUCGGUAUUGAAAGUGGUGCACAAACAUGGGCCAUGCUCCAAAUUCCACAAAUCAUCAAAAACUUCAACCACAACUAGUGAUGAAAAAUACCAUGCUCAAAUCCUCGAGCAAGACCAGGCCCGAGUCAACUCAAUCCACUCCCGCCUCAACCACAACAACAACAAAGACCCACUCACCCAAUCCGCCGCCACCACCCUCCCCGCCAAGUCUGGUAUCGUUAUCGGCUCAGGGAACUACAUUGUCACCGUCAGCCUCGGUACACCAGCCAAGCAACUCUCCCUCGUCUUCGACACUGGCAGCGACCUCACCUGGACCCAAUGCCAGCCAUGUCCUACUACUCGGUCUUGUUACAAACAGACUGAGCCCAUCUUCAACCCUUCUCUCUCCGCCUCAUACAAAAAGAUCCCAUGUACCACCGCCGCGUGUACUCAGCUCCCAUCCUCCGGCCUCGAACAAAGCUGCUCCGCCUCCACCUGCCUUUACAUCGCCGUUUACGGUGACAACUCCUUCUCUAAAGGGGUAUUUGGCAGCGAAAAGCUUACAUUGACCCCUACGGACGUUUUUGAAAGUUUCCUCUUCGGCUGCGGCCUAGACAACGGAGGCCUAUUCAGAGGAUCCGCCGGUUUGCUAGGUCUCGGCCGGAGCAGCAUCUCCUUCGUCGAGCAAACCGCCAAUAAAUACAACCGGUUCUUCUCCUACUGCCUCCCGUCGACUUCCAGCUCCACCGGUCACCUCACCUUCGGUGACGGAGGCUCUCCUAACGGCGUUAAGUUCACGAAGCUCAUCACGUCAUCCCAAAGCGAGUCGUUUUACGGCCUCGGCCUCGCCGGCAUCAAAGUCGGUGGGAGCCAGCUGUCGAUUGCGCCCUCGGUCUUUUCGUCUUCUGGAACGAUCAUCGACUCGGGGACGGUGAUCACGAGGUUGCCGGCGACGGCAUACGCAGUGUUGCGGGGCGCGUUUCGGGAGGCGAUGAAGAACUACACACUGACUAAUGGCGAUUCGUUGCUGGACACGUGUUACGAUUUCAGCGGCUUGAACACGGUGUCAUAUCCGAAGAUAGCGUUUGUGUUUGGGGAUGGACUUACGGUGGACUUGGACGCGACCGGGAUAUUGUUUCCGAUAAGUCCUUCGCACGUUUGCUUGGCGUUUGCCGGAAACAAGGAUGAUAGAGACGUCGGGAUUAUUGGGAAUCUUCAACAGAAGAGGUUGGAGGUUGUGUAUGACGUGGCCGGAGGAAAAGUCGGAUUUGCCCCUGCAGGUUGCGAUUGAGUAAUGACGUCGUCCAUGGGUAUAAGUGUAAUACAAACAGCUUGCUAGCUAUAGAAUAAAGCAUUGGGUUACAUAUUUGUGUGUAAUGUUUGUCUGUUGUAAGUCGGUGUCUCCUGUUUUUCUUUUUUGGGUUCUUAUUCUUAAGGGAAAUACCCAUGUAAUUCUUAUUUUCUAGAUAUAAAUUUAACUAUUUCUAAAUAUUUAAGAUAAGUCUUAAACCCAAAUUCCAAAUAUGCUGUCAUUUAAGAUAAUAUAUAUUUGUCCUAGUAUUAUCAGUUAAAUUACAAUAUGUGCCAUUAACCUUCAUCAAUUCCUUCCUUUGUUUGCAACUAAAUUUCAUUUUAGAAUCUAAACCGAACUCUGUGCGUGUCCGACACUUGGCGGGUGCCGGGCACACUUGACUAAAUUGCGCUUCUAACGAAACCGAAGUUCAUCUCAAGUUUGACUUCUGUUGAAAAUUCGGCAGAAUCUUCCAUGUAAAUAGUCGCUACCCCAAAUUGCAUGAAGUUUACAUUCAAGCAAUCCAACAACAUAACUAUAUGGCCUUAGGCUUUACAGAAAUCCUAGGGCAAUUUCAGAGCAAUACUAAUCAGUUUAAUUUACAGGAAUAGUUCAAUUAUAAAAGAAAUCCUACAUAGCGGAAAAGAUGAGUGAAGAGUGGUGACUACCCUGUGGUGGCGCUCUGGUACACGACUACUGCCUUAGGGUGCAAAACAUUUAAAAGUGUGAGUGGACAAAAAUAAACUUUUGGAAAAUAGAAUAUUAACAUACUAACCCCACUGUUAAAACAUUAUGUUCUAUAUUCGUACAAGAAUAAAGACAUACAUAUAACUAAUCACGCAUUCAAAUUCUCAAAACCUUUUGAAGGCACUGUAAAGAAAUAAUAUAUUUCUCACUUAGGUGUACCCAUCAUAUAUCCGUCAAUUCCAUGGUCUUUUACUUAUUUCCCAUAUUAUACCCUCAAUUCCUUGUGUCACAUAAUGCGACACAUCCUCGCAAGUCUCGGAAACACAAAGUCACCGGAGCCGCAUUCCUCGCAAGACUCAGGGGACAUUAAGUCAACCUGAGCCGCAUUCCUCGCACCACACGGUUCGGGCAUCCUCGAAACUAGUGGGGCAUUGUCAAACGCGCACUGACUCAACCGAACGCAACUAGAAUGUCCGUGGACAUUAUUAUAACCGUAGGCAACAAUUUUAUCCGAAGGCAACAUAUUAUUCGAAGGCAACAUAUUAUCUGAAUGCAACAUUUUAUCCGAAGGCAACAUCUUGGGUACCUAUGGUGGUUUAAAAAUAUUUCUUAGAAAAAUUAUACUUUUAUUUCUCAAUAAAUCCUUCAAUCAUAUUAUCACUUCCUUUCCUACUUUCCAAGCCUUUUAAACAUGAACAAAAUUUAAUAAAGAUAUUUGAAUUCAAAUAUUUAUGCUUGGAAAGUAAUAGUCAUAAAUAAUUCAUUCAAAAUCAAUCAAUGAAACUUUAAUUGCAUAAAAUUCAUUUACAAAACAAAAGUUCACUCACUGAGCAUCCGAGCUAGCCUGACUCUUUGAGGGUCUUUCCUGCACGUUCAACGAAAUCUGAGUACCUAUUUAAGCAAUUAAAACAUUUUAUUAAUAAAAUAGCUCAACCACAAUUACUUAUUCAACACCCUGACCCCCGGCCUCAUAAGUGCGUGUACGUGACUUACAAAGGUUACUAGGCCCAUUUUCAACAUUUCUGACAGGUGGAAUGGUCUGAAAAGACCCGAGUUUAAAAAAGCGAUUAAAUUUCCAUAUUGGUAAAUCCGGUACCCCGUCGGGUCCACGACCGCCGAUUACCCAUCUAAGAGUUCCUAUAGGUUCAACACACUUUACUAAACAUGCCCUGCAAGUUUGGUCCGAAUCGAACGAUCGGAUUACUCACGAUCGCACGAUUAUCGUUUAACUUAAACUUUGAAAUAUUGAAUCAGAGUAUCCGAAACUCCGAUUCUCGAUCCGCGAAUUUCUACAUGAUCCCAGAAGCGCCUAAAUCAACCUAAUUGAAAAUGAAGUAGAUCCAACGGUCCCAACAUAUCAAACCAGGAUAACGCCUAAUAUACGAUAUCUGAUCGACGAUCAAACAAUAACCAAAUUGAAAUUCGAGUAUACCGUCGCGCUCAGGACGACGUGGGGAUCAUUCUGGGACAAAAAUCCAACAUUGACACCCCGCCGACGCGCCGCCACCACUGGCAGGUAUAUUGAGUAAUUUUUCGGCGAUCGAAAAACUCCGAACUGCCAGUCAAUAAUCAUACCUACGGAUUAAGCACAUCAAGAGGAGUAAAUAUCAUGAAUCCAAUUGACAUUGGAACAAAGUUGCAAGGUUUGGAAAUGAAUGUAGAUGAAGAUAUGAUGGUUCAUAUUGCUUAGAAUUCACUAUCUAAGGAGUUUAAGUCUCUCAGAGAUACCUACAUUUCUCAAAAGGAAAGCUGGACACGGGAUGAUCUUAUCACCAUAUGUGUUGAACAGUAACACAAUAUAAUAAGAGAAAGAGAUGAAAAAAUGGUGAAUCAGAUGCAGUCAAAGCAAAAUAAGGAAUAUAGGAACAAAGCCAUUGCAGCUGGAAAAGAGAAAGAAAAUGAAAAGGAUAAUAACAGUCCAAAUGCUCUGAAACCAGUGGGAUUGAAAUGCUUCUUCUAUAAGAAAACUGGACAUAUGAAAAAGGAAUACAUAAGGUAUAAGAAAUGGUUGGACAAACAGAAAACUAAAGGUAAAAGUGAUCAAGUUUUGGUUUGCUUUGAAUCUAAUUUAGUUGAUUUUAUUGAUGAUUCAUGGUGGUUAGACAGUGGUGCAUCUAUUCAUGUGACUAAUUCUUUGCAAGGGUUCAUAAAGAGGAGGCUGCCAAGCAAGGAUGAAGUGAAGGUGUUCGUAGGAAAUGGUAGGGGUGGCAUUUUAAACCGAAAAACCGAAAAACCGCAAAAAUCAACCGAUAUUUUACCGCAAUAAAACCGCAAUCGCGGUAAACCGAACCGCAAUCGCGGUAUUAAGAACCGAACCGCAUUUACGGUUGCGGUUGCGGUAUUUGAUUUUCAAAAUUUGCAGUUACCGCAAACCGCAAAGUAUAGCCGCACGGCUAUACUCUAUGAAUAAUUAAGUAAAAUUGUAAACCCUUCUCUUCUCUUGAAUUGGUGGAAAGGGAACCAAACAAGAUAUCCUAUUCUUUCACAAGUUGCCAAGGAUAUCUUUGCAAUUCCAAGUUCUACGGUUGCUAGUGAAAAUGCUUUUAGCCUAGGCAAGAGGAUUGUGGAUCCUUUUAGAAGCUCUUUGCAUCCUAAAAUGGUAGAGGCAUUAGUGUGUACUAGUGAUUGGCUUAGAGCGGACGAAUUUUCCUUUUACAAGGAACCAACAGAUGAUGAGGUUGAAUUCUACAAGGAAAUGGAAGAUAUGACAACUUGUAAGUAAUUAGUUUAUUUAUGCUAAUGUUAUUUAUGCUUCUUCUUAUAAUAAAAUGUACUAAACUAUGUUGUUUUAUUUGUAGAUAGCAUUGGUGCUCAAACAAUACAAAGGGGUUCUUCAAAUCCACUCACCACCAACACUUGAGUUUGUAACAUUGGUGUAUUGCAUUUUUCCUUUUAGUUUGUAACUUUAAUUAACUGUGAAUUGGAUUUUUCUUUUUGAUUGUAACUUUAAUUCAUUUUGCUUUUGGUUUGUAAAUUUAAAGGAUUUGGAAUUGGAAUGCUUGAGAAGUUUAACUUUAAUUGGAAUGUUUGGAAUUGUAACUUUAAUUUUCUUAGGUUGUGAAUGCUUGAGAAUUGGAAUCGAUUGUGAAUUUAUAUAUGCUUGAGAAAUUGAGGUUGUAUAUUUAUUUAUUUAGGUUGUAAAUUUAUAUUUUUGUGAAUGCUUGAGAAUUUGCGGUUUUAAACCGCAAAUUCUCGGUAACCGACCGCAUUUUUGCGAUUUACCGCAAUGCGGUAAACCGCAAAACGCGGUCGGUUUGCGGUUUCAAAAAUCACCAAACCGCAAAUAGUCGGUCGGUUUGCGGUUUGAAUAAAAAUUCGCGGUUACCGAACCGCAACCACCCCUAGGAAAUGGAGAAAAGUGCAAGUAGAUAAUAUUGGAGUAGUUAGGAUUGAACUAGAUUCUUGUUUUGUUUUUUAUUUAGAAGAUGUGGUUUAUGUUCCUUCAAUGAGCAAGAAUCUCAUCUCAGUUACUAGGCUUGUAAAGUCAAAGUUCACUUUGAACUUUGAUGAUUUUGGUUGUUCUAUUUUUAGAAAUAAAAGCUUAAUUGGAAAAGCAAGUAUUGUGGAUGGUAUGUUUCGAUUAAACUGCAAAAAAACUAUGCAAAUCAACUUAGUUCAAUCCAAACCAUGCAAAGAAUUAUAUUUUAAAUUGUGGCAUAAGAGACUUAGACGUAUUUCAAAGGCAAGAAUCAAUACUUUAUGCAAAGAAUUAGUUGUACCACCAUUGAAUCAUGAUAAUGCAGAUGAUAUAUGCCUAGAAUGUACAAAGGGAAAAUUGACCAACCUAAGAAAGAACGGUGUUGUAAGAAGUCAAAGUGUAUUAGAAUUAAUCCAUACAGACAUAUGUGGACCAUUCCCAACUCCAUCAUGAAAGGUUUAACUACUUCAUCACUUCUACAGAUGACUAGUCGAGAUUUGGACAUGUUUUUUUAAUCAAAGAAAAAUCCAGUGCUUUGGACAUGUUCAAAAUUUAUAAAGCUGGAGUGGCACUACUACAAAAAAGCAAAAAGACGACGGUAAAUCACCGUCGUGUAUUCGGUUUUUCAAUGGUCGUGGAAUCCACCAUCAUCUUUUCCCUCAUAAACCACGACGCUAAAUCACCGUCGUUGUUAAAAUAUACAACGUCAUCAACAAAUACAAAACGACGUCUUUGUACUGCAAAAAGAUCUAAAAAAGCAGUCGAGGAUGAGAAUAGACGACCAACUCUCUAAAAAAACCGUCGUUAAAAAGGAAAAAUAUGACACAUAUUAAGAGAACAAGGCCGCAAGAUAGACAUACAACGACGAAAAUAAAAAUACGACGCCGUUAAAUAUCAUUUUCACGACAAUAAAAAAUUUGACAUCUUUAAAUACAUUAGAAGACGACGUUAUUGAUACCUACUACGUCGCAUAUAUAAAAACAGUCGUCGUAAAAUUAAUUUUCCACUUCGAUUUUUCGAUAAAAGAUGACGUGGAAAUAGUUGUCAGUGUCAUUAUUUACGACGUAUGUAUUUAUAGAGUAGACGUUGAAAAACGAAACAACGUCGGUUACAAAUAUAUGAGAGUCGUAUUACAAAAUUUAUACGUCAUAUUUUCAGAAACAAACAACGACGAUAAAUAUUAGACGUUGUUAAAUAAAACAACGUCGGAAAACAAUAAAAACAGACGUGUUUAGUCUGCUAAAGUUCUAGAAAAUAGUCGAGGAUGAGAAUAGACGACCAACUCAAACAAAUCACCGUCGUUAAAAAAGAAAAAUAUGACACAUGUUAAAAGAACAAGGCCGCAAGAUAUACAUACAACGACGACAACUAAAAUACUACGCCGUUAAAUAUAAUUUACACGACAAGAAAAAAUAUGACGUCUUUAAAUACAUGAGAAGACGACGUUAUUGAAAUAUACUACGUCUCUUAUUUACAAACAACCGUCGUGAAAUAAAUUUUUCACUUCGAUUUUUCUAAAAAAGAUGACGUGGAAAUAGUUGUCAGUGUCAUUAUUUACGACGUAUGUAUUUAUACAGUUGACGUUGAAAUGCGAAACAACGUCGGUGGCAUUUAUAUAGUCGACGUUGUAUUUAUAUCUAUCAUCAUUACUCACGACACACUUAAUAAUAUAGACGACGUUGAACUUCUAAACAACGUCGGUUCCAAAUAAAUGAGAGCCGUAUUACAGAACAUAUAGACGGCGUUGAUUAUGAUGAGAGCCGUAUUACAAAUAACGUCGUUUAAUUGUUAUUAGACGGCGGUUAUAAUGAAUUUCCGUCGGAAUUCAUUUCGUUCCUCUUCGUUUAUAAAAGAACUUGCGACGUGAAAAAUGUAUGAUGACGUCGUAUUUUUUAACGUUCAGAUUAUAUAUCUCGUUUUUUAGACGUCGGUAUUAUGGGAUUGGAGUCGUGUUAUUUUGAAUUACAUGGCGGUUCUUAAUCCUUCCCCGACGUGAUAUCCUGAAUAAUUGCUUCACAAUAGCGUCGUGGUUCUUCAUUGUUACGUUGCUUUAAGACGUCGGUAAAUAUGCUGAAUAACUGGUUCACAAUAACGUCGUGUUUUAUUUGAACGUAGAAAGUGAAGAAAUCACAUUACAAUAUAUUAUAAAAUUAAUGUCAUACACUGCCAAUUACAUAAGCAUCAUUCAAUCCAUAUAUCUUCACACCCAUCUCGAAUAUUUUGACCGCCUAACUCACCCACCAGUUCAUCAAAUGUGUCAACAUUUGGCAUCCCUCUAGUAAAUGGCUCACACUCAAUUAUCACAUCACCUAAGACUUCAUCACCAAUAACAUCAUUAUAUUCUCUAUUAGGCAUUGAUAACACUACUGACCAACCACGAUGCAUCGGGUCGUCAACAAAAAAUAUUUGUUUGACUUGAGAAGCCAAAACAAAUUGGUCAUUCCUAUGUCCAAUUUUACUCAAAUCUACAAGGGUAAAUCCAAGUUCGUCGACUACAAGACCAGAACUAUCUAUCCAAUCACACCUAAAGACUGGGAUUGUAAACUUUUGGUAGUCAAGGUCCCAAAUUUCUUGAAUGACACCAUAGAAACCCAUAUUUGAGAGAAUUGGGUUUUUAUCCUUGGCACUAACACAUGGACAACGGAUAUGUAUUGUAGUUAGAAGAUUUUCUACAGCAAAGUUCAAAAAUGCUUCCACCCCAAAUUCAUAUGCCUUCGAUCUUCUAUCCGAGUGCAUCCAUGACUUAUCCAUCUCCGACACUAUAACCUAUUAUCUAUAAUAAAGUGAAAAUACAGGCAAUGACCAUCACUAUAGCAGAUUAUACAAUGAUCUAAUCGCAAGUAAUACACAACAGAGACGACGGGUUUUAAACAAAAACAGACGUAUUUGGCAUAUAUAGACGACGGAUUUUCAACAGACGUCGUCUAUUAUAAGUAAUACAAACGACGGUUUAUGAAAAAACCGUCGUGUAUAAGUAAUACAACGACGGUAGUUUAAAAAAACCGUCGUGUAAUCGUCGUCGUAUGCCUUAAAAUUUGUCGUGUCUCAGUUUAUUUUCAAGAACACAAAACCCAUUAAGAACACAACAUAUAUAUGAAACCAAGCAAGAAACCAACAUAUACAUGAAACCAAGCAUGAAAACAAUAAAUCCAUUCCCAAUUCAACAUAACAUAGGGUGAUUAAAAGAUACGACAAAAUUAAAUCCAUUCCCAAUUCAACAUAACAGAUAAUGUAAUCCAUGAACCCAUUAAACAGAAAAUCCAUGAACCCAUACCUAUAAGCACAUUAUUAACAGAUCGCAAAGCAUACACAUAAAACCCUUUAACAAAACAACCUAAUAUCACUCGAAUCGUUACUAGAAUCAUCACUCGAAUCCCCAUCUUCAUUAUCAGUUUCUUCCUUCGUAGGUACUAUUUGCUCCCCAUCAUUGGUGCACUUUGCACCUUCUCCAGAGCGGAAAAUGACAAGAUCAAAUAAAGGUGUACUUUUGCUGGAAAUCAACAUAAAAAGACACAGAUCACCAACUUCCAAAUGAUUGUCACGCACAACGUCCAUCCAACUACGCCUGAAUAAGAGCCAAAUCUAAAAAAAUUUAGGUCGCGCGAAAAUUUUUAGAGCUCGCGCGUUUUAAAACGUCGAAAGAAAAACCAAGGCGAAAGUUCUACAAGUACCGACGUAAAUUUAAUAUUCCACGACGGAAACUUCAUUUUUCGGAUUAAGAACGUAAGGCCGUUCAUUUUGAAGCUUCAUUUUUCGGAUUAAUUUUAAAUUUAUUUUGAAUUUUUUAUAUAACGACGACUGAAAAACCACGUCGGUGUUAAGAAAUUAAAGACGUUGUAAAUUAUAUAAACCGACUUACAUAUUAAAAUGACGUCGUUUAAAGCGUAAACCAUGUCGUAUGUUUUUCUGUACGACGUAAAAUAUGUAUUCCACGACGCAACCACCGUCGUUAAAAAUUAAUACCCUAAACCCAUAAAACUAAAUUAUACAAUUUAAAAAAUUAAGUUUAUAAAAGGUUUUAUGGUUUUAAAGCCUAACAUAUACCCUAGACUACCCAAAAAUUAUACUUUAAAAAUAAACCCCAAUAAAUAACAACCCUAAUCUCUAAACCCUAGACUCUAAACCCUAAACCAUAAAACUAGAAGUGAUUUUAUGACUCAUAAAAACAAUUUUGUUUUGGAUGGUCAUUUUAAAUUUUUGUUAUUCAAAAUGAAUUUUUUCAAGGUUUAUGUGGAAGAAAAUAUAUCAAUGACUUCAUAGGAGUUGACUUUUCAAUUUUCUGAUUUAUUUUAAAUUUAUUUUGAAUAUUUUGAUAUAAAAAUAAUAAAAUAUUCUUACCACAACAAUAAACCACGUCGGUGUUAAUAAAUUGUAGACGUUGUAAAUUGUAAUAGACUACUAAGUCGUUAAAAUGACGUCGUUAAAAUGAGAAACCAUGGCGGCUAUUUAACUAUACGACGUAAAAUAUAUAUUCCACGACUUAACCGCUGUCGUUACAUAAACGUCGUCGAUGAUACCCUGAACCCUUAAGAAAUUGAAGAUGUUGUAAACCAUAAACGACUCAAUUGUUCAAAGAACGUCGUCUAACUAUAUUUUUACGUCGUAUUUGUUUAAAACACGAAACAACAAAAUACGACGGUUUUUGACUUUAUUAGGUCGUUGGAAAAGUAUUACACGUCGGUUAAGCAAUUUGUAUGUUUGUUUUUUUUUUAAUUUAAGAAAACCUCAACAAAUUUUUACAUUACAUAUUAUAGAGAAAAUUUGUACAUUAUACAUAAAUAUCAAGUGUUCAAUAAUUGCCCUGUUUAAUAAUUUGGAAAACAAACUCUGCCCAUUCAUUCCGGACUUCAUCAAUGGCUUCUUGGGGGUAUGAAGCUUCCUGGUUUCCCUUGGCAUACUGCAUAAACAAUGACUAUUAGGGUUUAUAAAUAAAAAGAAAUUCAAUCACAGACGACGAUAUUUUUCAUAACCGACGUAGUAUAUCCAUUCAACGACGUUAAUUUUACAUGACCGUCGUUGAUAAUACAAAAAACGACGUGAAAUGUAUGAAGGUAAUUUCUUCUUACCUUAUUCUCAAACCCCAAGGAAGGAUCCAUGAUGAUGUCCCUCAUGAAGCGCAUCACAUAAUACCCGCAUUCGACAUUGCUGGGUUGCUUUGGUGUGCCUGAGAGAGUUUUCCAAAUUACAUUUUUACGUCCUGCUCGGCCUAUGUGGGUAUUAUAUAUUUUUAAAGCACUGUUCACGAUGUUUUUCGCCUCUUCGUCGACCACACGAUGACCUGGCAGAGGAUCCAGAAAAUAGACGGUCUCCUUCUUUGCUCUUACAAUCAGCAAGAUCCAAUGACGGCUGCACAAAAUUAAUAUAAAAACGACGGUUAUUUACAAAAACGACGUAUUAUAGUAUUUCACACGACGAAAUAAAGUAGAUAACGACGACAUUAUAUAUUUAUCACGACGAUAAAUAAAUACCGACGUGGUUAGUAGUUUCAAACGACUAAAUAAAAUAAAACACCGACGUGGUUAGUUUAUAAGCUGUCAUUUAUUGAAAAUCAUAAAAACAAAAUCCUAAGGAGACUAACCCUGGAUUGUAAGGCAUCAUGAAAAUCUGUUCACCGUCUGUCUUCUGAAGUCGAGCUGCUACCAGUCGUGAUCUUUCAGUUAUUGUGCCAGAGUUGGCACUAACUGUAGCAGGGUCGAUAAAGCUAACCAUGCUGCACAUAUUGGCUUGUUUCAAAACAUCGUGUAAGUACCUAAAUACAUAAAAUAAUAUAAACAAGUCAGCACAAACAAACACGACGGUUAUGUAUAAAAAAACGACGUAUUAUAAUAUUUCACACGACGUACUGAAAUAGAUGAGGACGUUAUAAUAUAUUUAUCACGACGGUAGUUAGUUAAGACGACGUGGUUAGUUAGUUAAGACGACGCAAUAUAUAAACCAACGAGGUAUUAUUUUAGAAGUACAAACCUCAUAUAUACAGCCAAUACAGUAGCUCCAAUUUCUUCCAUGCCUGCAAAUUGUGUAAUAUCUUCAGGCAGGAGGAAGGUAUCGUGCUCACCACCAAACACCUCCUUAUCAAUUGUAAAUUGGAGUGUCUUAUCCUCAGGCAGGAGUGUCGUUUCCACAAAAUGACAAAGGGUUUUUAAAGAAGAUGGCGCCUCCAUAUUUGAAUAAGCACCAACUUCAAUAACCUGUUUAAAGAAAUAAAAAAAAUGACGUGGUAAUUCAAUAAAGACGACGGUUUAAGGAAUAAAACGUCGUCUUAAAAGUAUUUAAACGACGGUGAAAAAACUGUCGUGGUAAUUCAAUAAAGACGACGGUUUUAUGAAUAAAGCGUCGUCUGAAACCAUUUAAACGACGGUGCAAAAACCGUCGUUUAAAUAUUUUAUUACGUCUUAAAAAAAGUCCGCCGUCUAAGUUUUAAACAAACGACGGAUUAAAUAAAAAUAUCGACGUCUGAAAUUUUGAAAAACAAAUAAAAAAAGGCAAAGUUAUGUGAACAUACCUUGUCGUCAUGCUUUUCUUCAUCUUCUUUCUCCUUUUCUUAUUCCUUCUCUUCAUCUCUUUUUUCUUCUUCCUUCUCUUCAUCUGGCUGAUGUUUCCCCAUUUUGGCAGUAUCAUCCUCCAAAUGUAGGGAUCUCACAUCACCUCCAGAGCAGCUAGCUUUGUCAGACAUUGGAUUUUUGGGGCUUUGGCUAAUUCUUGGUUUAAGCAUGCUUGGAUCAAAAUUGGGAAUUAAUUGGGAAAGCUGACUCAGGAAAUGCUCCCUCUCAGCCUCUACCAAUUGUUUUGUCCUAGCCUCCAUCCUUAAGGCUUCUUCCCUUGCCUUAGCCUCCAUCUUUUUAGUCUCUUCUUGAAGGAGAACUCUUAAACUGUCCUUCAAACGGUCGUCAAAGCUCACCCUCUGUGGUUUGGGCAAAUUGAAAUAUUGCCUUGGGGAAACACCAGCACCAACUCUCCUCACUCUGCCUGGAUGCUCGGGGCCCAAAGCCAUGGUCAGCACAUCAUUGCUGCCAUCUACUCUGACUUUGCCUUCCGAGACUUGUUUCUGCAAUUCAUCCUAAAACAAAGAUAAACAAAAAAACACACGACGGUUAUUUAUUUACAAACGACGUAUUAUAUAAUUUCACACGACGCAAUAACGUAUAAACCGACGUUAUUAUAACUUAUCACGACGGUAGUUAUACCGACGUGGUUAUUUAUUUAAAACGACGAAAUGAAUAAACAACCGACGUCUUAUGCUAUAAUUAAAGAAAACAGAGUAGUGAUUCCUAUUUAGACCGUUAACGACGUUUUUAAAAAAGUUUCGACGUGGUAAUAUCAUUCAAACGACGCGAAAAUGAACCACCGACGUCUUAUGCUAUAAUUACAGAAAAUUAGUAGUGAUUCCUAUUUAGACCUUUAACGACGUUUUUAAAAACUUUUCGACGUGGUAAUAUCAUUCACACGACGAAAAAUAUAACAUACGACGUAAUAAGAAUAAUUCACAGUUUAAUAAAAAUUUAAAACAGAGUGAUAGUAGGCUUACAAUUAAUUUUGCUUUCUCUGCCACCUUUGGAUCAGGGAUGUUACCAUGUUUGUCCUGUCUAGCUCUCUUCCAUAAGGUAGAUCGAUCAAUUUCUACCCCAGGCAUGGUUUCCUCCAAUUGAUCCUCCAAUCCAGCAUAUCCUUUUCGAGACAAUCGAUGAUUGUACUCGAGUUUCUUCCUAAUCUGUGCAUGUUGAGAAUGCACAGACUCAAAAUCUUUGGAUAGCCUUGAAGCUACAAAGGCAUCCCAUUGUGCUUUCUCUAUGAAUUUAUAUGUUUCAGGGGGUUGGCUUAAUUUCUCCCUGUCAUUGGUGUAUGGAAGGAUAUAAUGCCUCGUUAGUGUAGACUUGAAAUCCUUCCAUUUCUGGAAGCAGAAGCUAAAACAGAGGUCUUGCCCCCUUGGCCUACGACAAAAGCCAUGUCAACUGCUUCCCAAAUCUGCUCCUUUAUAUCCUUGGGGAUUUGGGACCAUUUCUUGUCCACAAGUGGGAUCCUGGAGCGUGCCAACACACCAAUAUACGACUGCAUCUCAAUAUGUGCUUGGCCAACACCUUUCCCCCUUUUAUUGUACUCAACAAUUGGCCUCAGUUUCUGAAGCUUUCUCUUCACAACACGAGGCAUUGUGCUCAUACCUCGACCAGUCUUUGAAUCAUCAGAGAUUGUUGUCUGGCUGGUUGGUUCUGUCUCAGCAGAUGAUGAAGCAAACUUCAUCUUCUUCGAAGACUUCAUCUCCUUCGAAGACUUGUCUUGAGGAGCUACCAUUCCAAGCUUCUUGGAGCCAGAAUCCUUAGUUUGUUGUUGAGAAACCAUUUUAACAGACAAAACUGCAAGUGAAAAUAUUUCAGGAAAACAUUAAGAACACAAACGACGGUAUUAAAAAAAUACGACGUAUGAUAUGAUUUUAGACGACGCAAUGAAAUAAUCUCAGACGUAAUAAAUGUUUAAAACCAUUAUUUAUAUAACGUCGUGGUAUAUAUGUUCACACGACGUCAAUAGUAAUACACCGUCGUGGUAAACUAUUAUUUAUAUAACGUCGUGGUAUUUAUGUUCAUACGACGUUAAUAGUAAUACACCGUCGUGGUAUUAACAUUCACACGACGUAAAACAAUAAGAUAUUUUGUCGUCUAUAUUAGAUACCAACCCUAGUUUCUUUUUCUUUAUAUUUUAUCAAAUAAGGGAAAAACAAAAACCAUUGUUCAGAGAAAUCAAACCUGCAAUUAAACAAGCAUAUAAAAAAAGACUAUUAUUUUAAAAACAACUUUGUCAAUUUUCAGACGACGCUAGAACAACUGACGAACCGUCGUGGUCUACCGUCGUCUUAUUUAGUUGAGGUAGUUGUCUUCAAAGUUGGAAACUUUCCCUCUUUGUCUGUAUAUUUUAUCAAAUUUGGAAAGAAGUACAAUGAUUUUGGCCAGAAAAAAGGUAAAAAGAUUUUUCAAACAAAAAACGUAUGAGCAUGCAAAACAGUAACCAAAAUAGUGAAAAUGAAAGCUUACCUUUUGCGUGCAAUGAAAGCAAGAGGAAGAUGAUCGAUGUUUAAGUUCAAGGACGACGAAGAAGACGAGAGGAAGACGAUGAGAAACUCUGACAAUGCUCUGACAAGGAAAAAAGACGAAAAGGUUUCUCUGGAGAUUGAAAUUUUUAAUCGGGUUUGGAAACAGUGCAUGUGUAAGUUCAAAAGUUGCUUACAUAUAAAACCAUUUCAAAAAAAUAAUACGGCGGUUACAUUUAACUACGUCGUUUUUAACUAACACGACGAAAUAUUUUUCGUUCGACGUGGAAUCAUUUCAUUUAACGUCGUUAGGUUUAAUAUAACCGACGUGGAUUUUAAUUUUUAAAUUAUGAAUAUAAUUUUUUUUCCCGUGACCUUUCAGUUUAUUUUUCAAUUACAGUGCGUUAUAAAUAGAGUUCUUUUUCCAGAGGAAAUUUAAAACGAAGGAAAUUAAUAUUCUGCAAUAUGUAAAGUUUCUUUUUUGGAUGACAGAUUUAAAUAAAAUAAGAAUAUAAAAAUAACUAAUGUGUAAGUCAAGUAGACGAAAAGUUGCUUACAUAUAAAAUCAUUUCAAAAAAAUAAUACGGCGGGUACAUAUAACUACGACGUAUAAAGUACAAAAUACGACGGUAAAUUUAACUUCGGACGUGGUAAAUAAAUACGACAGUAGUGUUGUAGGUACCGUCGUAGUAAACUCAAAAAUUAAAGUACAUAAGUAAUAACUCGCGUCAUGGUAGAUUAUUUAAGACGUCGUGAUUAUUAAUGUACCGACGUGGAGUUCUGUAAUAUACGUCAGUAAUACCGACGUUGAUUUUACAAUUUAAACGGCGGUUUUUUGGUAAGGACCGCCGUUGGUUUUAAAAAUUUAUUCUAUAAAUUUGUCGCUUUCAUUCAUUUUCGCGGUUUACAUUUAGGGUUCCAAGUUCUUCCUCUCUCAGAGACACUGUCUCUCACAUCUCAAAGACAAUAAUUUGGAGGUCUUUCUCAAAGAGAAAUUGAGCUUACAUUUAGGCUAGUUGACAAGAAGAAGCUUGUCAACUAGCCUUCUCACUUCCUUGAUCAAGCCUGAUAGGACACUUAGUGCUUCUGAAUACUCCUUGCUUUCCAUCAAAAGAGAUGCAAGCCUGGCCUCCACUCGUUGUCGAAGGAAAGUUCGCUUCUCAGGGAAAUCUGAAAAUCAGAUGUGCUUGAUCCUCUGCUUGAUUUUUUUGACUAAGAAGAUCCGUCAGAUUUAAGCAUGAGCAAUCGAAUCCGUAGAGCUUCAGAAGAAGAAGAAGACAUUGUCAAUGCUUUGAACUAUACAAGUCUGCAGAAAGAUAAAGGACCAAACUGUUAAAGAAACUGAAACAACGGCGGUUUUCUGUUCUACCGUCGUCUUUUCUCGUCGUCUAUAUUAAGGUAAGAUGGCGGUAGAUUUAUAAUUACCGACGUAGAUUAUUUUGUUAAACGUCGUUAAGUGUACUACAACCGACGUGGAUUUUAUUUUUAAAUUAUAAAUAGAGUUUUUUUUCCAGACUUCUUUCAGUUUUAGUUUUCAAUUACAAAGCGUGAUAAAUAGAUUUUUCUUUCCCGAGGAAAUUUAAAAUGAGGGAAAUUAAUGUUCUAGAAUUUGUAAACUAACACGACGCAAUAUUACUAACCCGAGGAAAUUAUAAAUAGAUUUUGCUUUCCUGAAGAAAUUUUAAAUUAAUUCAGUUUGAAACAAAACGACGGUUUUUUGUUAUGCCGUCGUUUUUAACUAACACGACAGAUUUAAAUAAAAUAAGAAUAUAAAAACAACGACUGUUUUUUUACUACUGUCGUCGUUUUUCGUCGUCUUAAGUAAGACUAAGACGACGUAAUAUAUUUGUUGAGCGACGUUGAUUUGUUUUUAAACGUCGUUAGGUAUAAUAUAACCGUCGUUGAAAAUUGUCUCUCUGAUUGCAAAUUUGCAACGACGUUGAUCAACUUCCAAAAAAUUGUCUCUCUGAUUGCAAAUCUGUGUCAUCUGUUAAGAUUAUUUUGUAUUUUAAAGCCGUGGAUUUGUUUGUAAUUAUACGGCGUCUUAUACGAAAACCUCGUCGUGUUAUUUUAUGAGUAAAAACGGCGGCUUUUAUUGAAAUCGUCGUCUUUACUUUCUACGUCGGUCUAUUCAUAACUUCUGCCGUUCUUUGUUUGCUUUGAUUUUACAUUGCGGAAAUCUGUUUCAAAUAGACGUCGGUUGUUUAAUUAGGUACGUCGUUGUUUUUGAACAGCCAUUUGAAUCUCCAUUUUUUAGUUGUCUAAGGUGGUAUUACACGACGGUGUUUUUAGAACCGUCGUCUUUUUAAAAACCACGACGGUUUUCACUUAGACCGUCAUUGUUUUCUGGUCGUCUUUUUCACUUUUUGUAGUAGUGUGGAAAACCAACUAGACCUAAAGAUAAAAGUUGUAAGGCCUGACAGAGGAGGAGAGUUCUAUGGGAGAUUCGAUGAGCUUGGAGGAAUCUUGGUCCUUUUGCAAGGUUUCUAUAGCAAGAAGGAAUCAUUGCUCAAUACACUAAUCCAUAGACUCCACAGCAAAAUCGAAUUGCAUAGAGGAGAAACAGAACUCUAAAGGAUAUGAUAAGAAGCAUGAUGUGAUGCACAAACUUACCAAUUUUUCUGUGGGGAGAAGCUUUGAACACAUCAAAUCACAUACUCAAUCGAGUACCAAACAAGGGUAUCAACAAUAUCCCUUAUGAAGUUUGGAAUAAGAAAAAAUUACGCUUGAAACAUUUGAAAACAUAGGGCUGCAAGAUAGAGGCAAAGCUUUAUAACCCUAUGGAAAAGAAGCUGGAUUCGAGAACUGUAAGUGGUUAUUUCAUAGGAUAUCUAGAUAGAACUAAAGGAUACAGAUUCUAUUGUCCUAAAAACACUACCAGAUUUGUAGAAACUCAGAGGGCAAUGUUUAUAGAAUCUGAAGGUGAGACAAUCGAAGAUGAAAAUUUUGAGUUUGAUGAAGAUAUUGCAGAAACUGGGGAAACAAUACAAACUGACAUUUUGGUGUUACUAAGUUUUGACUUGAAUGGCAAACAAAACAACCAAGAAGGGCAAACUGGUACAGACCCUAUGGUCACUGAAGAAGAAACUCAAGAAAAUCAAGUUUUACUACCCGAAAAUCAAGAUGUAGUUCAAACACAAGAAGGAACUAAUAAUCAGACAAAUGCAGGACUAAGAAGGUCAGAAAGACCAAAGAAACGUGCUUUACAUAAUGAUUAUGUUUACCUUCAAGACUCAGAGCAUAAUGUGAAUGACAUUGAGGAUCCUAUGAACUUCAAGCAAGCAAUGAUGAGUAACAAAAAUGAAAAUUGGUGGGCUGUUUUGAAAUCAUAAUUAGGUUCCAUGGAAAAUAAUGGAGUUUGGGAGCUUGUGCCUUUACCAUAAGGGAGCAAACCAAUUGGCUACAAGUGAGUGUUCAAAACCAAGAGAAAUUCGAAGGGGUGGAUAAAUAGAUAUAAGGCUAGAUUGGUUACUAAGGGGUUCACACAGAAAGAAUGAAUUAAUUUCAAUGAGACCUAUUCACUUGUCAUAACAAAAGACUCCUUGCAAGUGAUCAUGGCACUAGUAGCUCAUUUUGAUUUACACUUGCCUCAAAUAGAUGUUAAGACUACAUUCUUGAAUGGAAACUUGGAGGAAGAAAUUUAUAUGCAACAACCAGAAGGUUUCAUUCAAGAGAAUGGAGAAAAUCUGGUUUGCAAGUUGUGUAAAUCAAUCUAUAGUCUAAAACAAGCAUCUAGAGAGUGGUAUAAGAUUCAAUGAAGUUGUUAAACUAUAUGGUUUUACAGAGAAUGUCUUAGAUAAGUGCAUUUACAUGAAGAUGAGUAGGAGUCACUUCAUAAUUCUGAUUCUUUAUGUAGAUGACAUUCUGCUAGCUUGCACCAACAUGUCCAUGUUACACGAUUGCAAGGCAUUCCUGGCUAAACAUUUCGACAAUGACAGAUUUGGGAGAAGCCUCAUACAUUUUAGGAAUCGAAAUUAGCAGAAAUAGAAAGAGAGGUUUGUUGGGACUAUCAUAGAAAACUUAUAUAGAAAAGAUACUCAAAAGGUUUAACAUGCAAGGCUGUGCAAGGUCAGAUGUGCCUAUUUCGAAGGGAGAUAAAUUUAGUACUAAUCAAGCACCAAAGACUGAUCAAGGAAAGCUUGAGAUGGCAGAUAAACCUUAUGCAUCAUUAGUGGGGAGUCUCAUGUGUGCACAAGUAUGCACAAGACCUGAUAUUACUUUUAUAGUAAGUGUAUUGGGAAGAUUUUAGUCAAAUCCUGGACAAGCAUAUUGGAUUGCUGGUAAAAGAGUCAUGAGAUAUUUGCAGAGAACAAAAGACUAUAAGUUGGUUUACAAAAGAAGUGACAGACUGGAAGUAGAAGGUUAUGCUGAUGCAGAUUUUGCAAGUUGCAAAGAUGACUUGAAAUCUACAUUAGGAUAUGUUUUCCUAUUUGAGCAGCAAUAUCAUGGAGAAGUAACAAGCAACCACUCACAAUUGCAUUGACUAUAUUGGCAGAAUUUCUGGCUUGUUAUGAAGUAACCACUCAAGCUAUGUGAUUAAAGAACUUUAUCACUAGUUUGGGUGUGGUUGAAUCAAUUCAACAACCUAUACAUCUUUGGAAUAAUAACAGUGCAAGAGUACUUUUUGCAAAAGGGAAUAAAAGAACAAAGGCAUCAAGAAUUCUGGAAGUUAAAUUCUUUGCUGUCAAAGAAAAGACUAGAGAUGGGCAUACUGUGUUGGAGCACAUUGGCACAAAUGAAAUGGUUGCAGAUCCACUUACUAAGGGGUUACCAAAUGUUGUUUUUCACAGACAUGUGAUUAGCUUGGGAUUGACAGUUCAUUUGGAUGACUAAAACAAUGGGAGUUUUAUCAAGUUCUGGUAGUUUAACUAGUUUUGCUAUUUUCUAUUUAAAUUCAUAGAGUGGUGUUUUAAUUUGGAUGAUUUUCAGUUUAAGGAUUCGAAUAUAGUAUAUUUAUGCAAUGUAGUUUAUAUGCACAUGUGAUUACUUGAAUAUGUGUGGGUGGCAUAGCAUGCAUUUAAGCUAGCCAUGAGAAGAUUGUAUUCAUGACAGUUUGUAAUUUUUGUUAUGCAAAUUGAGACCUUGUUAGUCAUUUAUAGGGACAAAGGAAUUAGAUGACUUUUGUUUAAAGCACUUUCAGUAAGGUCAUCUACAUUCUAAAGUUUUAAUCUUGAUCGAAGCCUUAUGUGGUGUUGAAGAGUUUUAAGUGUGAAUAUAAAGACUUUGAUAACUGUAUGAUCAAUAAGUCUCUUAUAAUUUUUCUUCAUUAACAACUUAGUGGGAAUUUUAUCUGGAUAUACUUUCACAAGGCCUUAAAGUGAUCAAUACGAGUUUUCCUUAGCGAUUAUUUAACCAAGUGGGAGACUGUAAGACAAAUCCGUGUCUUAGUCUAAAUUGUGGUCUUCUAAUCAUAUCUGGUUUGGAGGAGCUCUAAUUGAUCAGGAAGUAUUAAUCCUAAUACAAGUAGGAUACUCAAUCAAACAGUGCGUUUACAUUGAGAUAGGAGUAUCUUAAGGAUUCCUAAUUCUAUAUGGAUUAAAACAUCCAAUUCCUAAGUAAACAAAAUCUGUUUGAGUACUCCUUGAUGGGUAAGGUACCGGAACAGAUGCUUAUAAAUAAGGUCCCUUUUGUAUCGGCUAAAAUACACUCAUAACAGAAAACUCACCCCAUCCAGAGAUAGAGAUAAAGAGCCGAGUUGGAGAAGAAGAUUCUUAUUCACAAUGUCUGAUCAAGGUUAGUAUUUGAGAUUCAAAGACAUGAUAACUUAUAGUAUAUAUGGGUUGUUAAGAUUUUAUCCAGAGAUUCAAAGAAAGCUUUUUUCUUUUUAUUAAACCCUUUUCAUCUUUUUCAAUGGUGCACAGUGCAAUAUCCGAGUGGGGAAAUUGGGAAAUUAAAGGAUGAAAAAUAAUAAUUGGGGCAUGCCAAAUUGGCAAAUGCGUAAAGGAGAUGAAGCCUAUCAAAAACAUCAUUUGUUGGCAAUGGAAACUGCAGGAUGAUUGGAAGUUAAGCCAUCUAAAAUCUCCAUCAGUAUCUCUCACUCACUCAUCUUUUGGGACAGAUUCCAGCUUUCUUCCACCACCCACUACAACCUCUCUGUCUACCCCACACCCAAGCAAGAUUCCAAUUAAUCAUCUUCGCUCUCUGAUAAAAGAUUCCUGCUGUUAAUUUAUUCGCACCAGAAAUUAGGGAUGGCCCAUUCACAAUCAAACAAACACAAGAUAACUUUGCUGGACCGCUCAUUUUCUUUAAUUCUACUAAGGCAAUUACAUUAUUGUGACAACGAUUGUCUUAAUCUCAAAUAUCUUCAAGUACAGAAAUGAUAAGUAUUUAGUCUGGAUCAUAAGAAUAUAGUGGUAAAUACAAUUAGUUUCUACCUCAACCUUUUUGAGGCAUUUCGACGAACUGUUUAAGGAAAAUAUCAAUAGAUAACUGAAUUGAUGAGCCAGAUUAAGAACAUAGAUGUCCGAGUGCAGAAUAUAGUAAUUUAUAAACAAAUGAAAAUAGUAUUUUUCCAGUAAUAAUUUUUGAAAAGAACUAAUGAUAGAGACCAAUUGUUUAAAUUAAACAACACUUUGUUUUCUUGUAAUACUUUCAAUUAGUUGGAUGAUUGGUGUGGUCUUCGUGGACUCAGUUGUUAGUUGGAUAAUUAGUUAAACGACUAUAAUUAGAUGUUUUAAAUAGCUUUCAAUUGUCUAAUAUUUCAUAAAAAUCAACUGUAAAUUACGACUCAGAUGGUUGAAAUACAAUUUACUUCAAAAUAACAAAUUAUUCAACGUGUUGAGAAUGUUGUAUAUGGAGUCUACAUAGACUUGACUAGUUGGGUGUUAGGCAAUUAUGAAUUGAAAAUAUUUGUCAUCAGUAAAUGCUUGGAAAUUAAUGCCAUGUUUGGUAUGUCUCAUUAUGUCUUAUUGGACUGGACUGUGUUGUAUAGUACUUGAAAUCCAUAUUUGAUAAUGGAGGGGAUUAACUUAAAUGGGAUUAUAUAGUUCAUCAGUGUAAAAAAGCUCCGGACUCACUUGUCUAAUAUAGCAAUGCUGAAAUGUGGUUCGUAAAUUAGCGAGAACGCUAUUUUGAGCAUGCAGUCCAACCCUUGGCUUGAAUUACAACUUUUUUUUUAAUGAAAUAGGAAGGAAAAAAAAAACACGAUAACAAAAAGAAAAGAGAGAGAGAGAGAGAGAGAGAGAGAGAGAGAGAGAGAGAGAAAUGCUAGGAAAAAAAAUAAAAACAGAAAAAGAGAGAGAAAUUAAUAAAAUAAUUAUUUUUUAGUCCGACACAGAAUCAAACAUAGGUCUUCACUAUUUUUACAAUUCAACUAUUUAAUCCGACGUAACACCAAAAGUAGCUCAAUAUUUAAUCCAGCUUACGCCAAACGAACCCUAAGCCCGAUAACCCCAGUUGACAUCGUCCCUGUCUCCAAUUAGCCUAUAUAAGGCCAAGGGUAUGCUUACAUUACAGCAGCAACUCAAUAAUCUAGAGGUAAUCUUGUUAAUUAUUCAUGGAAACUCCCAUUAUUUUUAGCUCCUCCUUCCUUAGGUUUUUCAUGGGUUUCUUCUCUGUACUUCUAUGCCUAAUUCUCUGCUCUUUCGAGAACGGAUUUGCUUCGGCAGCAAGAGAUACAAAACCCCACCUUCUGCCACAUACCACUCACACAGUUGAAGUAAACUCUCUUCUACCAGCAACCACCUGCAGCCCCUCCACCAAAGGUUAAUUCAUCCCAUAUUAUAUAUAUAUAUAUAUAUAAAACUUAAUUUCAAUGCAUUUAUGUAUCUCUAACACACACUCUCUCUCUCUAUGCAUACAUGUUUCGAUGAUCUCAGGUCAUAACAAUAACAAGGCAUCAUCGGUAUUGAAAGUGGUGCACAAACAUGGGCCAUGCUCCAAAUUCCACAAAUCAUCAAAAACUUCAACCACAACUAGUGAUGAAAAAUACCAUGCUCAAAUCCUCAAGCAAGACCAAGCCCGAGUCAACUCCAUCCACUCCCGCCUCAACCACAACAACAACAGCAGAAUCAAAGACCCACUCACCCAAUCCGCUGCUACCACCCUCCCCGCCAAGUCCGGUAUUGUUAUCGGCUCACCGAACUACAUUGUCACCGUCGGCCUCGGUACACCCGCCAAGCAACUCUCCCUCGUCUUCGACACUGGCAGCGACCUCACCUGGACCCAAUGCAAGGCAUGUUCUGCUACUCAGUCUUGUUACAAUCAGACUGAGCCCAUCUUCGACCCUUCUCUCUCCGCCUCAUACAAAAAUAUCUCAUGUACCACCGCCGCGUGUACUCAGCUCUCAUCCUCCGGCAUCGAACACCGCUGCUCCGCCUCCACCUCCGCCUGCCUCUACGCCGCCGGGUACGGAGACAUGUCCUUCACUAUCGGGGUCUUUGGCAGCGAAAAGCUUACAUUGACCCCCACGGACGUUUUUGAAGGUUUCCUCUUCGGCUGCGGCCUAGAUAACGAAGGCCUUUUCAGCGGAUCCGCCGGUUUGCUCGGUCUCGGCCGGAGCAGCACCUCCCUCGUCGAACAAACCGCCAAUAAAUACAACCGGUUCUUCUCCUACUGCCUCCCGUCUACUUCCAGCUCCACCGGUCACCUCACCUUCGGAGACGGAGGCUCCGCUAACGGCGUUAAGUUCACGAAGCUCAUCACGUCAUCCCAAAGCGAGUCGUUUUACGGCCUCGGCCUCGCCGGCAUCAAAGUCGGUGGGAGCCAGCUGUCGAUUGAGCCCUCAGUCUUUUCGUCUUCUGGAACGAUCAUCGACUCGGGGACUGUGAUCACGCGGUUGCCGGCGACGGCAUACGCGGCGUUGCGGGGCGCGUUUCGGGAGGCGAUGAAGAACUACACGCUGACUGAGUCGUUUUUGUUGCUGGACACGUGUUACGAUUUCAGCGGCUUGAACACGGUGACGUAUCCGAAGAUAGCGUUUAUGUUUGGGGAUGGACUUACGGUGGACUCGGACGCGACCGGGAUAUUGCUUCUGAUAAGUCCUUCGCAGGUUUGCUUGGCGUUUGCCGGAAACGAGGAUGAUAGUGACUUUGGGAUUAUUGGGAAUGUUCAACAGAAGAGGUUGGAGGUUGUGUAUGACGUCGCUGGAGGAAAAGUCGGAUUUGCCCCUGAAGGUUGCCCUUGAGUAAGGGAAAUACCCAUGUAGUUCUUAUUUUCUAGAUACUGGCCCCUGGCACAUGCAUGAUCUUGUGUCAAUUGGUUUUCUUUUAAAUAUAUAUUGUUUUUAGAAUUAAGAAAAGGUAAUAUAAAUAGUUAUGUUCUAUAAAAGUAGAAUCUAUUAUCUGAUUUUAUUUUAAUAUGAAUUUAUCAUAUUAUCCUUAUUUAAUUAAUAAUUUCAAUUUUUAAUGUUUGUAUUAAUUAAGGGCAUUUUUUGGUAUUUUAAAUAAUUUACCAUUCUCUGCAUUGCUUUAUAUAUAUAGAUAAUUUAACUAUUUCUAAAUAUUUAAGAUAAACCCAAAUUCGAAAUUUGCUGUCAUUUAAGAUAAUAUUUGUCCUAGUAUUAUCAAUUAAAUUACAAUAUGUGCCAUUAACCUUCGUUUGUUUGCAACUGUACAUUGAUUCUUUUCCUAAUAAACACUGUAUAGUCUCUUGGAUGCAUGAUCCCUUCCUUGCCGUAAAUUUGUAUUGAUUUCAUAAAAAGUAAUAAUCAAAAUAAUUGAUGUACUGAUUGGAAUUUGUUUUUAUUAUAUAUAAAUGGCACGUAUAUUAUUUUUACAAUGUGCCUACAAUGGUGCUCAUUUUUAAAUAAAAAUAAUUUACCUGUAUGACAUGUACUUAUAUUGUACCUUAUUAUCUUUUAUUGAUAAUAGGAACAUUAUGUAUUUUAAAAAGAGGUACGUUAUCUUAUAUUGAUAAUGUCAAUUUAUCUAUUAUCUCUUAUUGAUAAUAAUUUGGGAGAUUUUGGAAAAGCCCAAAGGAGAGAGAAAAUUUUUAAAAGAAGCCGAAAUGGACAAAAUUGCCCUUAUUUAUUUUUUGAUUUCUUAAGGAAUCUUUUACAUUUGCAUGUCUUUGGUUUGAAAGUUGAGAGGUUUUUCUGUCUUUUUUGAAAAAGCUUUGGCUUUUUUCAAAAGUGAAAAUUUUUUUAUGGGUAAAACCUAAAUUUACUUAAUAAAUAAUUUACCUAUUAUCUUGUACUAGCCUCUUUGCGUGCGCUUCUGCGCUUGCGAGAGGAUUUUUUUUAAAAAAAAUUUAUUUUAGAAUUAAAAAAGAUAAUUGGUAGUUGUGUUUCAUAAAAAUAGGAUCCAUUAUUUGAAUUUUCUUUUAAUUUUAUUUUUUUAAUAUGAAAAAGUGUGAAUUUACUAUAAUAUCCUCAUUUAAUUAAUAAUUUCAAUUCUUAAUAUUUGCAUUAACCAAUGGCAUUUUUUGGCAUUUUGAAUGUUUUAACAUUCUCUGCCUUUUGCUUUAUAUAUAUAGAUGAUAAUAGGUAAAUUAUUUUUAUAAAAUAUUUGGUACAUUAUUUUCAAAAAUGCGUUAAAUGAGUUGGGUAUAUUAUUUAAAUCAUAAGUAAAUCAUAAUAAAAAAAUGAUGCAUAAAGAGUAUUGAAUUGCAGUUACCAAAAAAACAAGUACUGAAUUGCAGGCUAAUUCCAGGUACUAAGACUUAAUACACCUACCAUAUAACAGGUUAAUUUGUAAAUAGGGGUAGUUUUGGAAUCUGAAAAAUAUAAUAAAUCAUAUUUUAAGUUAGAUUAGGUAACUUGCUUAGUUGGAUCUUAGUCAUAAGGUUUUAUUUGAAAAAAUUGGAUAUUUUAAAUAGAAAAAUAAAGAGAAGAACUACAGGUGAUUAAAAAUGAAUUUUAUGAGUCUAAGCUUAAUUUACUAUUCUUUUUUUAAUAUAACAUUUGUGUUUUAAAAAGCAAAAGGAAGACAAUAUGGUUUUUAUUUUUGUAUUGAAGUGAUAUUAUAAACUGAACCUAGAACUUUAGAUAUGGAAUAAAUAUUCUUAACAACUCGAAAAACAGCAGUUUGAAGAAAGAUUAGUGAACAUUCCAAAGUUUGGUGUACGGAUAUAGUUAAACUGAUUGUUUGAUCAGUUUAACUAUGGACUCUGUUGACUCAUUGACUUUGGGACCCAUGAGUAGUCGUGAGUCGUGACUAGGAAGGAACAGAAACGCAUGCAUGAUGCAUGCAGUACCUUCCUUCCAGACUCCGAGUCCACUUGGUAUUAAUUACACUAUUGACAUAUUGUAUGCAUAAUGUAUGUAUGUGUAUUGACAGAGAACCUUCUUACCUUCAUUUUCAUUUUUUGUCUUUUCCUUGAAAGAUAAUUAACAUAAGAGAACGGGUGGACAAAGUCGAUCGACCAAAAAAUGACAACAAAAAAAUUGUAACGGGUUAGGGCGGGGUUUGAGAACGAUGGUAUGGAGCAAAUGCUAGAAAAUUAAACCCUCCAAAUAGUUUAUAUAAGGCCAAUAGUAUGCUUAAACUUAAAUCUACAGCUAGCUAGGCUUGUUAACUAUAUUCAUUUCUAGCUCCUCCUCUUUCCUCAGGUUUUUUCAUGGGUUUCUUCUCUGUGUUUCUGUUCCUAAUUCUCUGCUCUUUCGAAAAGGCCAUUAUUGCUCUGGCAGCAACAAGUCCAGAACCCCACCUUCCGCCACACACUACUCACACAGUAGAAAUAAACUCUCUUCUACCAGCAACCACCUGCACCCCCUCCACCAAAGGUUAAUUCAUUUCAAACCCCAUUUUAAUUACGCUGUUAAUUCUCUCUCUCUCUCUCUCUCUCUCUCUCUCUCUCUCUCUCCCCCUAUAUAUAUAUAUAUAUAUAUAUAUAUUCAAUAUUCAUAUAUUGUCUGGCUAUAUACGCUGUUAAUUCCAAUGGCGCAUGGGAGUAGAGACUGUGAAAUUCCCUCUAAUAUUCAUAUGCAUAGAAAAACAUACACAUUUUUUUUUUAAGUUUAGCAUAUUAAACUUAUACACACUACACAAAUGCUAUGACUCAACUCUAGAACCUUCCAUAAAAAAGCUAUUAUUCUAAAUCACUACACUAGUUGAUCUUUUUUUUUUAAAAAAAAAAACACACAUAAAGAGCCCCGUGCUUGGCCAAAAAAAAAUCUAAACCAAAUUUACUCUUUUUUUUUAUUUAUAGUAAAUUGAGCUUAGACCAAUAAAAUUCAUUUUAAGUUACCUACAACCCUUUCCUUUAGUUUUCUAUUUAAAAUACCCAAUUUUUUCAAAUAAUACCCGAUGAUUAUGAUCCAACUAAGCAAGUUACCUAAAAUAACUUAAAAUUUGAUUUAUUGUAUUUUUCGGAUUCCAAAACUACCCAUAUUUAUAAGUUAAUAAGUUAUAGGGGGUGUAACUAAUGACACCCGUUGAAUUUAGAAAGAUCUCCAAAUAGUUAUAAUGGAUGUAGGAACUAAUUCAAAAAUUUAUUUGAAAUUAAAUAUUAAAUUCCACAUUGAAGUAUUAUUAAUCUAUUUUACGACUAGUAAUCUAUUUUUGAAUUAAUGGUGUUUUUCUUCUAUGAAUUACGACUAGUAAUCUAUUUAAAGUAUUAGUAAUUUAAAUUCAAUAUUAAAUUUAGGAAUUAAUGUUGUUUUCUUUUUAUGAAUUAUACGACCGGUAUUCUUUUUAUUAUAGUUUUAUGAAUAAUAGUGUACGUUCUAAUUAUAUUGAAAAAUAAUUUGAUAAUCUAUUUAUUGUUUUGUUUUUAAAAUAUUUUUUUUAAUGAACCUAUUUUUCUCCAAAUAUUGUACCUAUUUUUUUCUUUUUUAUUGUUUUAUGAAAAUAUAUUUGAUCAUAUUUUUAUUGUUUGUUUUAUGAAAAUAUUUUUUUUACAUGAGCCUAUUUUUUCUCUCAAAAUAAUGUAUCAAUUUUUUUUCCUCUAAUAAUGUACCUAGUAAAACAAUUUACCUAGUAUGAUGAACCUAUUUUUUCUGCUGAAUUUUGUAUCUAUUUUUUUCUAUAAAUAAUGUACCUAUUUUUUUUCUCUAAUAAUGUAUACCUGGUAAAACAAAUUUUCUAGUAUAAUGAACUUAUUUUUUUCUUCUAAAUAAUGUGCAUAUUUUUAAUUUAUAAAAAUGUGUAUAAAUUUCAAUUAUACAACGUACCUAUUUUCUAUAAAUUAUUGUGUACCUAUUUUUAAUUUAUGAAAAAUGUACGAAAAUUUCAAUUACGAAGUAACUGACCUAUUUUUGUCAAAUUUUUUCGGUAAAUAAUAUACCGAUAUUGUUAUAGGUAUAUAUUUAUAUUUAUAUUUUUCAUAUGUGCAUUAUUGGAUAUGUAAUUUACAUAUUAUUUUUUUUAUUUGCAAUUUUAAGGGGCCAUAUGCUAGAGAGAAUGGCAACCGAAAGAAAUGGGGUGAUUGAUAUGCUAUUAAUAGGGAGUUUUAAUUACAAUUAUGGCAGUUAAUGAAAGGCUUGGAAUAAAUUAUAAAUAAAAUAUGAAGUUUGAUGGCAAUGAUGUAAAAACAUAUGAAUACUACGACCUCUUAUAUCCUACUGGUCAUUUAAGUUUGAAAUUGCGUUUUACACAUAAAUUUAUAGAAUGAUGGGUAUAUGCCUGGAAAAAUAGAAUUUGUAGGGCAUAUAUAGUAACAAAGAAAAACAACAAAAUAACAUAGCCCCCGUGCCCCAUUACCUUUGUGUCUCUCUCACCCACAUGGCAUGCAUGGUCUUGUUACCCGUAAACUAGUGGCAGGCAUGCACAGAUGGAUAUAAUUGUGAAUAUAUGCAUAAAGAGUCACAUGUAUACAUACACUCAUCCCUUUCAAUGACCAGGUCAUACCAAUAACAAGGCAUCAAUAUUGGAAGUGGUACACAAGCAUGGGCCAUGCUCUAUAUUCCACAAAUCAUCCAAAACUUCAACCACAAAAAGUGAUGACAAAUACCACGCUCAAAUCCUCAAGCAAGACGAAGCCCGAGUCAACUCAAUCCACUCCCGCCUCAACUACAGAAUCCACGACCCAUUCACCCAAUCCUCCGCCUCCGCCACCCUCCCAGCCAAGUCCGGUCUCCUUCUGGGCUCACCGAACUACUUAGUCACCGUCGGUCUCGGCACACCCGCCAAGCAACUCUCUCUCGAAUUCGACACCGGCAGCGACCUCACCUGGACCCAAUGCCGCCCAUGUCUUCGAUAUUGUUACACACAGAGCGAGCCCAUCUUCGACCCUUCUCUCUCUGCCUCAUACAAAAACUUAUCCUGUACAUCCGCCACGUGUACUCAACUCUCAUCCGCCGGCAUCCCACACCGUUGCUCCUCCGCCUCGUCCUCCUGCCUUUACGGCAUCCGGUACGGUGACGGGUCCUUCUCCAUCGGGGAUUUCGCCAAAGAAAAGCUUACAUUGACCUCCAUGGACGUUUUUGAAGGUUUCCUCUUCGGCUGUGGCCAAGACAACCAAGGCCUUUUCAACGGCUCUGCCGGUUUGCUCGGUCUCGGCCGAAACAACAUCUCCCUCGUAGAACAAACCGCCAUGAAAUACAACCGCUUCUUCUCCUACUGCCUUCCGUCAACUUCCAGCUCCACCGGUCAUCUCACCUUCGGCAACGGAGGAGGCUCCGCUAACGGCGUCAAGUUCACCAAGCUCACCACGUUAUCCGAAAGAGAGUCGUCGUUUUAUGGCCUCGGCCUCACCGGCAUCAGCGUAGGCGGGUGCCAGCUGCCGGUUGCGUCCUCGGUCUUUUCGUCUUCGGGAACCAUCAUCGACUCGGGGACGGUGAUCACGAGGCUGCCGGCGACUGCAUACACGGCUUUGCGGGACGCGUUUCGGGAGGGUAUGAAAAACUACACGAUGACUAUGUCGUUUUCGCUGCUGGACACGUGUUACAAUGUCAGUGGCUACGAGACGGUGUCGUUUCCGGAUAUUGCGUUUGGAUUUGGGGACGGGGUUACGGUGGACUUGGACGCGGCCGGGAUAUUGUUGGCGGUAAGUGAUUCGCAGGUUUGUUUGGCGUUUGCGGGAAACAAGGAUGAUAGUGACAUUGGGAUUAUUGGGAAUGUUCAACAGAAGCGGUUGGAGGUGGUGUAUGACGUGGCUGGUGGAAAAGUCGGAUUUGCCCCUGCAAGUUGCCCCUGAGUAAUGAACAUCGUCCAUGGGGCAUAAUUGUAACACAAACUGCUAGCUAUAGAAUAAAGCAUUGUGUUCCAUAUUUUUCUGUAAUGGGAUUGUAUUGGGAAGUAUCCAAUUCUUACCUUUCCCCACUACUUGUAUAAAAUAGUCUAAUGACCAAUCAAGCGAUAGUAUUUUAUAUAAUAAUAAAAUAAUCGAAUGUAUUGGAAGGAAAAUUCCAACUCAAAUACAAAAAGGGGUUUAUUGCCCUAAUCAAUUCUCCUAACUCACGUAUGUUGUCGGUGUUUUGAAGUAAUGCCACGUGUUAAUGUGCUGUUUCUCUUUUGAAAUAGCAAAAGUAGAACACUAAUCUCCAUCUCCUAGUUUGGGCUUGUUUUGCUUUUGGACUCGACCAGGCCAACUUUAGCACAAAAUGUCUUAAGAAGGACCUAAAAGAAAAUAAAAAAAGAAAAGGUCAAUGAAUUGGGAAGGCUUUGGCUUGGGCUUGGGGUGGUUCAGCUUCAAAUUUUAACCAGUGCCUAGGGUUCAGUGUAUUGGUUUCAGCGGAAAGGCUCGUCAGUCUGCAGUCUGUGUCUUGGGCUGCCUAUCCUUAACUAACCACUUUCUGAUUGCUUUGUGUAUGGGCUUUUUUUUUUCGGCAGCUACAAAUGGGCUAGGCUGCUAUAAGGAGCGAAUUGAUAAAAUUAUCUCUUGUGUUUAAGUUCAAAGAUCAAGCCCCAAGAAUGCUUCUAAAGGAUAGUGAAGCCUUAAGAAACACUUUGGUUACCUUCACCAACAAAAAUAACAACAGCUUACAGAUAAAUUCUUAGCUUGGCAUGAGAAGCUUGUGGCAUGGGAGCUAAGCAUUCAUGAAUUUAGCAUGAGAGAGAGAAAUGAUUGAGAUUUCCUAUGAGAAAUAGAGUUUUUAAGGCAUGAGGGAAGGGAUUCUAAAAGGAUUUGUUGUGGAGAGAGAGGGGGAGAGAGAUGAGGGCAAUGGGUGGCUUAAGUGUUUUUCCACCAGCUUGACAGAGGCUCUGUCAAAUGUUAAAACAGUCUACCAAAAAAGGGAAAAUGGGAGAGAAUGAUGAAUAUAGCACGAAUUUGCUAGGUUUUGCAAGUGAGAGAGGAAGCUUGCUCUCUGGACGUGGUUGUGGCUAGUGGUGGAGUAUUGGGUGUUUUUGGUAGUUUUUCAGCAGCCUGACAAAAGCUUGCCAGAAGAGAAAAUAGAAGGAGAUGGAGGAAUAGGGCACGAAAUUGCAGAGUUUCAGAGAUGAGAGAUGAAGCUUGCUCUCUAGAUGUAGGUUGAGAUAAUUGGUAGGAAAUGCUUCUUUUUAUAGGCAUUAGAAGCUACUUUUUUUCAAGAAACCCUAAUAGUUUCUAUCCAAUUUGGCCAAGCUUUUUUCCUUCAUUUCUUCUCCAUUCCUUUGACUUAUCCUAUUUGGUGAAAUUCUCUCUGCCCAAUUGCACAAAAACAGAGAUUUUGGGAGCUCAAUGCUCUUCUCACAGCUGCCUCAGUAGAGAACUCCCAUUUUCAGCCAUCUUUCUUCCUUCUUUACUCCCCUCUUCUAUGGCUAGAUCUGAUGGGGGGGAAAGAAAUGGGUAUGUACACUGGUUUGAAGGGUGUUUUGCUCAAGUAUCCCUUGGUUUUUCUGAUGGCUUGCGUUGGAUUUGUCUUUGGCCAUGUGCUGGAGAUUCCCAGCAGCCUGCAAAUGUGAGUGGCUUUUGGCUUUUAUCAUGGUUUUGUCUCCAACCAUGUACCGGAGACUUUCAAAUAUUUUGUUGGUCACUUGGGCCAUUCUUUAAGGUAAAGGCGCUAGUUCACUAAAGGGAUGGGCCAACUUCCCAAAGUGAUGGGCUAUCUUUUCUAAGGUAAUGAGCUAUUUUCUCUCCUUUAUGUUUACCCACAUAUUUGGGCUCAAGAAAUGGACUUGAGUUUCGGGAUUCCCAAGCAGCCCAAAACUUCCAUUUCUCAGCUCAUCAAUAGGCCUCAUGAAAGCUCGUAACCAUCUAUACCACAACCCAAUCAGCAAGCCCAAGGCAUUCGCGUGGCUUGGGUCCACUUAAACUUGUAGUGUGGCGUGUUGCUUAUUUGCUUGGCGUGGCACGUGUGCAAGCGUAUAUGAUGAACUCUUGCGUACCUAAAUUAGGUUUCUUCCCAAGUUAGGUGUCGUACUAGGCCGAGAAUUUAUUCGGGCCCAACAGUGGAUUUUUUGAACCUCAACACUUAGGUAGCAAAAAUCAGAGGACACAGAGAGAUAGAGAGAGGGAGACAGCCACAGACCAUCAAGUACUUUAAGUUAGGUUUGAUUCAUGAUAUUAACUGACUCUUAUAUUUGCUUUAAUAUCCAUGUGGAUGAAAUUUAAAAUGUGAUAUCAUGUGGUUAAGUAGUGGUGUAGGAUUUGUCUUUCAAUGGUUUCAACCAAUUUCGUGGAUGUUAAGAUUGAUAUAGGUUGGUUGACAAUAGGUAGAUCGUCCUUAUCGUUUCUAAUCCUAAUAUGACAAUGCCUUAUAUUAAUUUUCUAAUUUUUGGUUGAAUAUCUUAUUUGAACAAAGGCAUCUGAAAAUUUGAUCAUUUUGAUGUGUAGAGGCCAUUGUUACACUUCGCAAAGAAAAAUAAUGUAUAUCUUUUGCUGGACAAAAUUACGCUUAUAUAUAUGUGCUGGCUAGUGUGUUCCAUUUCUUUUUGUUUUGUUAUUUGGCAAAUGUUACACUUUUGUACAGGGGAACAAUACCACCCAUCUUUCCUUUUGAAGUGUUAUUUGAAGAAAAUGAUUUUGAAUGAUUUGAAAGAAUUACAUAUGCACUUUAAAAAAAAUGCAACCUUCAAAAAUACAUCCAAAUAGCUAAAUAAAGUAUUUCUUGUUUGUUUUAUGGGAAAUAUGAAACUUUGCUCCCACAGAUGAUAUUGACGGAGAAAAGAAAGAAUUUUCGUUCCUAAACCAAGAAGAGAAAUCACGUGGGUUUUUGAUCAGAAGAGGAGAUUGGAAUGAGUAGGAGGGUAUUUUAGAAAUUUUCUCCCCACUAAAAAUAUUAUCAAAAUAUUAAAUAGAAAGUUUCUUUUAAAAAAAGAAUAAAAGAUAGAGUCAAAAGUUAUUAACAGCUGGCGUCAUCUCAUUAGGCUGGGACACUGACGUGGACAGCUGACCAUAGCAUACCCAUGGCAGGGAAGUUUUUCUCCAGUGGAGGAGACUGUGCAGAAGAAGAUAGCCUUUUUUCUUAUGCUUUUCUUUCCUCUGCCCUUCUCUUUUCUAACUUGCUAUCAUGGUAUGGUUCUGAGCUUUCUCAUUCUCACGUCUUUGUUGUUGUAAUUCUAUCUGAGAAAUUUAUAAAAUUCUUCUCUGUAUUCUUUUUGGUCAGUUGGGUGAGUGCUGUUUGAUUGCCUUGUUGCUUUUUUUCUUCCCUGAUCUAGGGUUUAGGGUUUCAAACAUUUUAUUGAGCUUGAAGAGGAAGUGAUGAUGAUAAAGCAAGGACCUUUUGAUAAAGAUUACUACUUCCUGAUGUGGGCCUUUGACCAUAGAAAGAGAUCAGAUAAAGCAAGGAAAUGGGAGAAAAUAUACGCCCUUUGGCAUUUGAUGGUCCUUGUUGCUUGCUUGUAAGUUGUAAUUGUCGGUGAGCAGGCUUAGCUAAAGAGAGUAAAGGAAAGCAACAGUGAGAGAGAGAACUCUCCCUCCUCUCUUUUCCACACUUUCUCUCUCCAUCUUCUUUUCUUUAUCUCCUUUACUUUGCCACACCCAAAGCAAUACUUACUAAACUAACUAAUCCAAAAUGAUUAUUAAUUUAUUAACUGGGGUUAAUUGCUGCAGCCUUCAUCCCAAAGCAAUACUUACUAAACUAACUAAUCCACAGGCUUCUUGUGAGGCAAUCUUUUCUCUUAUUCAAUUACCCCAGUUAAUAUGAAACUGUUGAAAUCAAUAUUUAUAUAAAUACAAUUGCGAAAAAAUAUUUACGAAAUUUUGUAAGUAAUACGUAGAGCACGUGAUUUAAAAAAAAUAUCUCACAUAUGAGAAAGCGCGUACAAAAAGACUAAUAAAACAUAAACAAAAAGGAUAAUCCUCAAGGGGAGCCACUAAUUAUUGAUCAUAUACCAGACAACUCCCAUCUUUAUAUAACUUCCAUUUUCAUUUUUCUUUUAAUUUUGUAAUUUGUAAUUUGGAUUUUUGGGAGGUGGAGUGGGAUAAGAAUUAUAGGGUGCGGUUCGUGUACCUAGGAAACCGCCACGUUCUUUCUUUAGGAAAUUUGGGAUAAAGUUAAAAAAACAUAAGUUGGGAGGUAGUGAAAUUAAAAGCAAGGCCAUGUGUUUCAUGAAUCAAAAUCAGACAGUUUUGUGUCCCAGUGAUGCAGAGAUAUAUACAAAUAUCAUUUAGACUUUUGCUUUUGGGCUUUGAUCAGGAUCUGAUCCGUUAUCUCAUCACCUUUUUUUUUUCUUUUUCCUUUUUUUACUCUUCAGUUUCUGCAUGUGCGUUACACUAACAUCAUUACUAAUCUCCUUUUUAUCUAAGCUGUCUUUCUGUAAAGGUAACACUGAUAUUCCUUCCCCAUAAUUCAAAGAAAAAAGGAGUUUGAGAUGUGGAAAUAUGGAUUCCCGAAUCAAAACUUUUUGAUUUUGUUAACGAUUAUAGUGGGCCCAUCAGUACUGGGAAUUUGUCUGCUUAUUUUGAAUUGAAAGCUACCUCUUGUUGGAAAACCUUAAAAGUUGUUUCUUUCCAAGCCCACUUACACUUGCUGUGUAAACUAAUGAAGUCUACAUGAAAGCAAUCUCAUGUCCUAUUGUGUAUAUGCAUGUGCUUAAUUGGUGUAUAUUCUGUAGUACCACAACAGAAUGUUUAACAUUCAAUUGGGGCUAAUUCCAUGAUAGAGUGGUAAUUGAACAGUAUCAAUACAUCAAUAAGUGCACAGUUGGGUAUACACAAUGAUCAAAAGGAGACAAAACAUAACAGCGGUUUAAGUGUUUCAUAAGAGAGUAAAAUAGAAGAAAUUGAGAACUGUUCAUAAGCAAAUCUGCCCAUUCAUAAGCAUACGUCUAAUUAUAAAAUCAAAGAACAAGAUACUGAAUAAAAAUAAAGUGAGAAAGAGAGAUUGUUAAAUGCUCUCAGCAACCAAUCAUAUUGUAAAAUGAGAAAGAGAGAUGAUUGUCGUCAAACCUUGCUACAACGGCCGAGAUCUUUGGAUCCACUAGAAUCUCCCCUUUCAGCUUCAACCCCAGAUAUUUCUUUGUCUUUGUACCUCUCAACCUUGAAAGCCCUUGGAACAAGGUGGUUCUAUAUACCAGACAAAAGAAACCAAUUAUCAAAUUUAAUCAGAAACUCACAUUACCAACAAACAAAACCCAGCUAUCCAAAAAAAUUCAAGAAACCAAAAGACAAAGGGAAUAGAAAAAGCAAACUGACAUUUGAUUUCAAAAUCCCCAAUUUCUAGGGUUUGAACUGAUGAGAGCGAGGAGGAGAGAUGGACGAAAAGAUAGAGAGAGAGAGAGAGAGAGAGAGAGAGAGCACGCGAGCUUCAAGCUUCUCCCAUGGAAGCUAGCUUGAGUGAGAACCAGUAGCACAGAGCGAACCAGCAGAUCCAACGACAAGAGAAAAAAAAUUCAAGAAAAACGCAUUUGUUUUGUUUUGAAUAAUAAGGGUCUUUUUGCAAAUGACCCCAUUGGUGUAGUGGUUUGGAGUAUUUACUCCCUCAGACAAGGUCUUGGAUUCGAGUCCUAGCAUCCGCAUAGUGUGUGUGAGUUUAGUAUGCUAUCGCCCCUCUCAAUGAGUCCUGUUUACCUGUUACCAAAGUUCCUGUGGCCUCCUGUUUCCCUGCUAGUUUCGUGACAUGUGGCAAGCCACUUAACACCACUUAACUCUGUUAACUCUUUUUGCUUCUUUUUAUUGUUUGUUUUUUUUGCUUUUUCUCCCAGUUCUGCCCCUUGAGGGUUUAGGGUUUAGGGUUUAGAGCUGGUGUUUCGGCUCGAGUCCAUGUGUUGUUUUGGGCUGGUAAGGGAAAAAUGAGCGGAAAAGAUAAGAGAAGGUAGGGAAAAAGGGGGUGAAGGAGAAACUAAAAAAAGAAAUAAAAAAGGAGAUGAGAGAAAAAGAAAAACAAAGCAAAAGCAAAAGCAAAAAAAAAAAAGAAGAGAGAGAGAGAGAGAGAGAGAGAGAGAGAGAGAGAGAGAGAGAGAAUGUGGAGGUAGAGAUCUGGAAAAGAUAACAAAAAAAGAAGAAGAGGAGAGGAGACGACGGAGGGAGGGGGAGAGAAGAGAGAAAGGGGCAUAACAGGGAGAAAAAGAAAAAAAGAAAAAAAAAGCAAAAAGAAGCAAAAAGAGUAAACAAAGUUAAGUGGUUUUAAGUGGCUUGCCACAUGUCAUGAAAUUAGCAGGGAAACAGGGGGCACAGGAACUUUAGUAACAGGUAAAUCGGACUCCCUCUCAAUAGGAAAUAUCCACAAAACACAAAAGAAAAAAAGGUCUUUUAAAAUUUGUUUUGGAAUUGGAUUUUUAAAAAUAGACCUACCAAACGAGUUUUUGGGCUUUUGAAUUUAAAAUCAGUUUUUGAGUUUAUAAAAUUGGACUCAAAUCAAAUACCAAACAGACCCUUAAAGACUUAAUGUUUUCUUAAAAUAUUGCGUUUGUUUAUUUUAUAGAGUACAAUUAUAUGUUUUAAAUAAUUUUCAAAUUAUCUAAUAUUUUUUAAGAAUCAACUGUAAAUUAUGCCUGACGGUGAAAAUACAAUUUACCUCAAAAAUAACUAAUUAUUUGACGUUAUUUGACGUGUUGAGAAGGCUAAAUAUGGAGUCUACAGAAGUCUAGAGAGACUUGACUAGUUGACAUCCCUGUCUCCAAUUAGCCUAUAUAGGGCCAAGAGUAUGCUUACAUUACAGCAGCAACUCAAUAAUCUAGAGGCACUCUUGUUAAUUAUUCAUGGCAACUCCCAUUAUUUCUAGCUCCUCCUUCCUUAGGUUUUUCAUGGCUUUCUUCUCUGUAUUUCUAUGCCUAAGUCUCUGCUCUUUCGAGAACGGAUUUGCUUUGGCAGCAAGAGAUACAAAACCCCACCCUCUCCCACAUACCACUCACACAGUUGAAGUGAAGUCUCUUCUACCAGCAACCACCUGCAGCCCCUCCACCAAAGGUUAAUUCAUCCCAUAUUAUAUAUAUAUAUUAAUUUCAAACCCCAUUUUAUGUGCAUUUAUGUAUCUCUAACACACACACACACACUCUGUCUCUGUCUCUCUCUCUCUCUCUCUCUCUCUCUCUCUCUCUCUCUAUGCAUACAUGUUUCAAUGAUCUCAGGUCAUAACAUUAACAAGGCAUCAUCGGUACUGAAAGUGGUGCACAAACAUGGGCCAUGCUCCAAUUUCCACAAAUCAUCAAAAACUUCAACCACAACUUGUGAUGAAAAAUACCAUGCUCAAAUCCUCAAGCAAGACCAAGCCCGAGUCAACUCAAUCCACUCCCGCCUCAACCACAACAACAACAAAGACCCACUCACCCAAUCCGCCGCCACCACCCUCCCCGCCAAGUCUGGUCUCGUUAUCGGCACAGGGAACUACAUUGUCACCGUCAGCCUCGGUACACCCGCCAAGCAACUCUCCCUCGCCUUCGACACCGGCAGCGACCUCACCUGGACCCAAUGCAAGGCAUGUUCUGCUACUCAGUCUUGUUACAAACAGAGAGAGCCCAUCUUCAACCCUUUUCUCUCCGCCUCAUACAAAAAAAUCUCAUGUACCACCGCCGCGUGUACUCAGCUCUCAUCCAUCGGCGUCCAACACGGCUGCUCCGCCUCCACCUCCGCCUGCCUCUACGGCACCCGUUACGGAGACAACUCCUUCUCUGUCGGGGUCUUUGGCAGCGAAAAGCUUACAUUGACCCCGACGGACAUUUUUGAAGGUUUCCUCUUCGGCUGCGGCCUAAAGAACAAAGGCCUUUUCGGCGGCUCUGCCGGUAUGCUCGGUCUCGGCCGGAGCAACACCUCCAUCGUCGAACAAACCGCCAAUAAAUACAACCGGUACUUCUCCUACUGCCUCCCCUCCACCUCGUGCUCCACCGGCUACCUCAGCUUCGGCAAAGGCGGCAGAUCUUCCAAUGCCGUCAAGUUCACGGCCCUCUCCACCGUCCCCCUAGGCCACUCGUUUUACGGCCUCAAUGUCGUCGGGAUCAACGUCGGCGGAACUAAAUUGCCGAUUUCGUCUUCGGUCUUUUC